UUUAUCAAUUAAUAAGAUAAUUGUUUUCUUAUGUGAUAAUUGAUUAAUUAUUUUGAUUAAAUUGGUAAAUUGUUUUGCAAGAAAUCAUUAAAUAAAUCAAAUAUGGAUAAUUAUGUGAUUAAUUGUUAAUUUAGAUUAUUUGUUAUUUGAUCCUUGUUGUUAUGAAAAGUUUCAUAUUUUCCCCUUUAGGUUUUAUAGUUUAAAUUUGAACCCAAAAGUUUUGUUGUUUUGAAAUUUAAAUAGUUGAAACCCUAAUGUUUUGAAAAAGGUUUCAAAACUUGCCCUCAAGUUUUGGAAUUUAAAUUUUGAUUAAAUGGUUUAAUUUUGAUGUAUAUUUAAAUUCUAAACCCUAAUGUGUUGAAAUGUUUCAAAACUUGCCCUCAAGUUUUGGAAUUUAAAAGUUGAUUAAAAGUUUAAUUAGGAAUGUUAAAUUCUAAAACUCUAGUAUAGUUUUGAAAAAGUUCAAAUCACACCCUUAUGGUUUUAUUAAUUAAUUAAGGUGUAUAAUUAAAAGAGGUUUAAUAAAUCCAUAAAAGUUUAGGUUUACAAUUUAAUUGAAUUAAAAGUAUAAUUGUUAAAUUUGACCACCUAGUAUUUUAAAAGUGUAAAAUACACCCUAUACUAUAUAUAACAUUAAAAGUCUAACAUUAUAUAUAUGUAUGAGUAAAAGUCAGUCUUACCGUUAGUAGGCCUCAUUCACGAAGCUGGUCUAUAAGGGGUGUUUAAGGAAAUUGCCUAUAAAAUGGCGAUUGAAUGGGUAUCCACUCUUACCCACCGCACUCUUGACUAGUGGAGGGUCGUUAGCCGAACGGGUAGGAUAGGACGAAACCUUCCAUUAUAAGUAUAAUGAAGUAUAAAAGUAACUAAAUGUUUUCAUAAAAUUCCCAAUCUUAGUUACUUAGGCAAAAGUGAAUUGAUGCAAUUCCAUGAAAUUACACUUUGUGCCCUUGCGAAGACGUUAGUGGAGCGUGUGUGGUUUACCGGCACACUAAAUGGUUCUAAGCAAAGGUAGCAAAGGGUGACUCAAUGUUUGUCAUAGUUCGGUGGAGCGUGUGUGGUUUACCGGCACAUCGAAUAGGUGACUGUAACAUGUGAGGGCACCAUGUAAGUUUGCAUGGUUAUUCACACCCGCUUUGUGAUCCUCGGCAUCCCAGUCACAAACAAGAGGGGCAUAUCGAGAUUUAAACAUGCCAUUGAAAUGUUCAAUGAAUCUCAAAGGAUCUAGGAGUUUUCAUAGAUUUAAAACUUAAAUUUCUUUUUCGUUUUUCAUGGUGGAAAUUAGUGAAUCGUCAUUCACUUACCUUCAAAUGUUCUGCAAUUUGGGUUACGGCAUCCCUCUCCCGAGUUGUAGAAUAUUGUGUUGGGUCCUAGCCUUAGUAUCUCAUUUGGGUGAUUUACUAAGGACUCAAUCAAUCAACUAACUUGAAUUCGUUUUCUCCCGUUUUGUAGAUGUCAAAGUUCGACAACUAUGGUCUUCCCAAAUCCCGUGGAACAAGCUUUCCACAUGAAGAUGAUAUUCCACGAUUCGAUCGAGGAACAAGAAAUCAUGCUUCACUUCCUCCACCUCCUCCAAUUAUUCUCCCUAACCCACAAGUUCAAAGGCUUGAAAAGUUCAAGAUCACUCAAGCCCUUUUGGCAAGUAAACAUAAAGAAGGAAAGUCGGUGUGUGCACACGUCCUAGGGAUGAAGUCACACAUUGAUAGGUUAAGAAUGUUGGGAUCCGUUGUCUGUGAGGAAAUGGCUGUUGAUUGGGUUCUUCAGUCACUUCCUAACUCAUAUAGUGAGUUCGUAAGAGAGUACUAUAUGAUGAACCGCGACGUGACCCUUAUAGAUCUCACCUAUAUGCUUAUUGCUGCUGAAUCAGCAAUGGUUUGGCGCAAUAGAAAAGCAAAGUUGAUUGGUGAAUCUGCCUUCAAGACCUCUAUGGAUAUAGACAAUGGCAACGAAAGACAUGCUAUGAUCGAAAAGUUUGAUCAUAAGAGAAAGGCAAUGUCUGAAGUAGUUCCAUGUCAUGUUCCAAAAGAGUCAAUUUGCUUUUAUUGCCAAGAGAAAGGGCAUUGGAGACGAAGCUGCCCCAUUUACCUAAGAGAUCUAAGAGAUGGGAGAGUCGAAACGUAUGGCUCUAAUAUAGGUAAAAUCCAUUAACUAACUCUUUUAAGCUUCUAUUCUAGAUUCUUAAUACAUAAUGUGAUAAGAUUACAAUUGAUGUUUUGUAGGAUCGAAGAAAAGAAAGGAAGCUUAAGGGAAGAAGUGAGCAGAAUCUAACCGUGAAGGAAUGGAUUUCGAUCGCAUUUCUCGAAGAUUAGAUUCUUGAGCUACUACUUAGAGUUAGAAUUAGAUUGCUAAGAAAGAUGUAUUAGCAUAAGUUUUUCAAUGAAUUGCAUUGUAAGGACAAAUUUUUCCGCAAUAAAAUAAAUUUUGAUUUUAAAUUUUAUUUAUUUAUCCUUACAAUGGCGUGUAUGAAAAAUUGAUGUUAAAAUGUUUCUAUUAUUAGCAAUAAUGGAUUUGGUUCUUAUUAUGUUAUUUAUGGAAAGUCGAGAAUUUACCAAAUAGGGAGAGUUUCUCAUCGCCCAAGUUUCAAUUGGACAGAAACUUGGAAUCAUGCAACUUGGUUGCACGAUGAAUGAGAAAUUUCAUAUUUGGAAAUUAGACUAAUUCAUUGACAAAGUGUCAAGUGAAGGACUAGGAGAUCGAGUACACAAAGUUGCGUGUUGAUCAAGUCCACCAUAAGAGUAACAAAGAUAUUCGUCAUGAUUUACUAAAGGUUUAGUAAAUAUGAUUAUACUUAUAAGAUUAAGUGUAAUUCUGAAUUGAUUGAAAAGGUUUAAAUCAAUAGCAGAACGAAUAAGAAGAAUCAAGUAGGCAGAAAGAUAAAAGUUUCUCCAUUCUAAGAAGAAGGGAGAGUACCUUUUAUGCUUUAUGAUAGGUCUUAAUGAUUAAGAACCAUAUCUCAAUUGAUCCUCUAAGUGAGUCUUAGUACAAUUGUAUGUCUAAGAAGAGGAAUCAAGAAUUGAAGAAAUGGUUAAAUCAAUAAGUCAAUCAUACUUCGUUCCAAUAACAAGUCUUAAAGUUAAGAUUGUGACAUUGAGUGAAAGGUAUUAAGAAGGUUUAUAACAUUCAUUAAAUGUGGAAAGUUGUGAUGUCUUGGAUAAGACAAAGACCAACUAGGACCAAUUUAUGAAGUGUUUUGAUAAAAGCUACACUAACUCUUGAAUAUUUGUUUGUCAAGAAAUGGUUAUUGACAAGAGAAUCUUAUAUGUCAAGGAGUCAGUGGGAGUCUUAAUGGUCUUGAAAGGUUUCAAGAACAAAUCAAAUAAACCUUAUCGAUCAUCACUAGCACACGAGUUGAGGUUUACAACCUAUCGUGUUGACAUUAUUUUGAUUCUGUGCCAAUCCAAUCGAGUUAAUUAUGCAUGUGAGUUCUAUGAGUUCUCAUUUUGAACGCAUAAAAGGCAAAGCACCUUAAUCAAUGAAAGGUACAUUGAUAGGAAAGGGUGAGCUGCUUAACUACUUGGAAGACAUGGUGGGCAGCUGUGCUACCAUAAGGCAAGAAAUCAAGAUUAAGAAAGUUCGGUCCAUAUGAGUUUGAAUUUGUCGUAAACUUUGGUUUUAACAAAUUCACAUGGAUAGGAACACAUACACCGUUUAAAUCUAAGUGUCAUAAGAUUUCCUCCUUCAUGAAAAUGAUUGUGAGGAAAUGCUUUCACUAAGAAAGAUUUUAAGAAGAUAGUGAUUGUAAAAUUGCAUUCUCGAAUUCGAUUAUGGUUACGGUAUCCCUUUCCAUAAUUUGAAUUGUGAGGUUUGGCAAUUAGUCUUAAUUGUUUAGACACACAUAUGAACUAUCGAAGGCAAAGGUGUAUAAGUUCAAGAAGCCUUGAUAAAAGAUUAUCAAAGCACUAAGUAUUAGAAACAUGAACUUAAGAAAUUCAAUAAGUAUUGUUUUUCUGAAAGUUAAGAUGUUUAUGAAUACAUGUCGAAGCUAGUGGGAGCAUAAGUGUUAUGUUUUAUAAUAAUCAUCAUGAUAGUGGGAGCAUAAAUGUUAUGAUUGUAUGAUUAUUAAGGCACGUAUUGCAAGUUGGCAAUAUUAAUUAUAGAAAACAAGAGUUAUACCUUGCAAAGUCGUAAGGGUUGUAAAGUUGUUUUGCUAUAAUUAAGGGAGAGAAUAUUAUGCUUCAUUUCAAAUCUAAAGGAUUAGGUUGAGAAAUGUUAAUAAAUUUAGUCAAAGGUACAUAGUGUGUUCUUAAAAUUUCGAUUAUGAUUACGACAUUCCUCUUCACAAUUCGAAUUUUGAGAACAUAGCAAAUAAAACAUUAUGCGUCGUGUCCCAUACGCUUCGGGUAUAGGAUCGAUUGCAAAUGCUUUAAUGUUUGACCAUUCUAAAAUUUUCCAAAUGUCUAGCGCAUUUAGAGGGAAAAAGGACUAGAAUCGGUUUUGACUAAAAUAAUUAAACAACUAUCAAAGGACAAUCCAAAGUUCGACGAGGAUUGGUCGCUUGUGAGUAGUUGGAAGUAUAGUAUUGGAAAAUAUGGAAAUGUUUCCAUAUUGGAUGGACCAUAUCGACAUCAUUACGAAUAGAUAAGAUUCUAUUAAGAAUGAGUUGUCAUAUGGAAAAUAUGGAAGCGUGUCCAUAUUGGGAAUUGAAUAUUGAAAAUCUAUGUCUAGAUUAGAAACUUUUAUGCAAAAGGAUGUUCAAAGGAAUGUACUUUGAGUGAGAGACAUCAUAUCUAAGGAAUUGUCUUGUAACAAUCUCCGAUAGAGGACUUUGUAAUAUCAUUGGCAAUAGUCUUUGUGACUUUGGUGCAGUGACAUUACGAAAGGAUCAUUGCAUAAAAUGUUAGAAUCUAGCAUAUUCUAUAAGUAGCAAGAAUUUGAUAUUCUUUCACUUAUGAAAAAGGAUUUGGAGUUGUGAAAUGAGAAUGAUUGGAAAUGUGUUCAAUUUGAUCUAUUUCACAAAGUAAGAACCAUAGGUAAACAUUGUGUGCAUGCUAGGAGCAUGGGACAAGUGUAAUAAUUCAAGUAAGAAGUUGAUUACCCGAAACGACAAAUAAUGAGUAAUCGAUAUGGUGAUAAAUAAAAGGUGUUUUAUUUAUACUCAAAGGUUUGAGGCCAUAUGGGAUUAGUAUUAUUCUUGUGUUUCACUUUGCAUGUUUUGACUUCCUGAAUAAUUUAAUUGGUUAAGAACAGUCAAAUUAUUCGAACGGGCCACAGUCGUUCAUAUGUUGGAAGUAGGUAUGAAUGAAGACUGUCGUGAAUUGGUGUGUGGAUUGUCUAAAGAGUAUUAGACAUAAGCAAAUGUUUGCUGCAACGUUCAUGAGUGCUUAUGAAUAUGAUUUGAGCAUUGGAUUAAACCCACGCUCACUUGGAUCACUCCAUGAAUUGUAUCACGAGUGAUUGGUGAGACGAUAACAUCUUAUAUUCUUGAAACCGAGAUGUGUGAGUUGUAUCUUGCAAAUCGGUUGCACAUUGAUAAUAUGUAAACGCACUAGUAACUUGGUGUUAUAAAACAUAUUGUUGUGUGUGAUUCGGUGAGUGAGUGCAAGCAAGCAUUGUAUCAAAGUUUAUCCGUUCCUUUUAUCCAAAGUAGGAUAAAAGCGAUAUCUUUGGGCCCCUCGAUGAUUUAGUGAUGACAAACGUAAAUGCUCGGCCGGGCUAGGGCUAAUUUGAUUUGUUCAAUUAGUCAGUCGUCAUAAAUCGGGAAUCGAGAUAUAGUACAAAGAGAAUGAUUUGAAAUCAUAUCUCAUAUGAUAUCUAGAAUGGAGGAAUAUAUGAUCCCUUAUCUAAGGACACGCGUAUCUGAUAGGAUCAGAGUUGACAGCGGCUUUGGAAAGCUACGAUUGCAGAUCAGGAUCUGAAGUCAUACGCAUAAUAGUUAUUAGACUUAUCCAAGUGGGAGACUGUUGGAUUAGUGUCUAAGUCCAUAACUAUUUUGGUAUGUACUUGACCCGAUGGUGCAUGGUCCUUUUGGGUUGCCUUCACCAAAGCAACUUGAUAGGAUGAAUUAUGGAGAGAAAGGAUUAAAUAUGAUUUAUUAAUAUAUUAUGAGAAUAAUAUAUUAAAGGAGAAAUCAUAUUGUUUAAUUAAUAUUAGUCAAUAAUUAAUUGGUAAUUAGUUUUGUGACUAAAAGAGAUUAAUUAAACUUAAGGGACUGGAAUUGUAAUUAUAAGAUAAUUGCAAUUUGGGCCAUGGAUUGCCUUUUAUUAUAAGGUGGACGAAUUCUAUGGGGGAAGCCCAUAUGAAAUCGUCCAAGGCCUUAAGGAAAGGGCUCCAUGGGUUGCUUAGGGCUUAAGCAUCCAAAUUAGGGUUUCCUUGUUAGAUAACCCUAAUUGCCUCCUAUAUAUAUGGAUCCCUUAUGACCCAAAAACGUGGCUAAGACUCCUCUAGGGUUUGUAGACGUUUUUGGGCAGCCUCCAUCCUCUCUCCUCUUCAUCCUCUUGCUUAUGGUGUUUGUGAACCAUUAGAGGAGUGACAAUUGUGACUCUAAGCUUUCUAAAGUCAAUACAAGGAGAUUUGGGAUUGUUAUUGCUACAUAACAAUCAAGGUAACAUCUUAAACCUAUUCUCAUGUUAAUAUGAUUACUUGAAUGUUAGAAUUAGGGUUUAUAGUCUUGGAUAACUUGCAUGUACAAUAGAGAAACCUAGAUCCAAGCAUUAGGGUUUGUAUGAGCACAUAGGAUGUUCUUAGGACCAAAACCCAUCAGUUGGGUCGAUCAAGCCCGCCAUGGUUGAGUACCUUGAUGAGCGCUAUGCAACUCUUUCGGAGGUGGUUGCCGCGGCAGCUACAGCGGCUGUAACAGCGGAAAGGGGGAGGAAUCGGUCGAGGUUUUCAGUAUCGGGACUUCGAUAAUACGAAGUCCCCUACUUUCGAUGGAGUUCAGGAUACGAUCGUUGCUAUGAGGUGGUUGUCAGAUGUGGAGGGUUGUUUCUUCACGUGUUCAUGCCACGCUGAUCAGAGGGUGAGGUGUGCUCUAAACCUUUUGAGGCUUGGGGCGAGGGAUUGGUGGAGGUUGAUUACGGGAUCUUAUUCGGAUGCGCAUCGGGCCGCGGUUACUUGGGAUCAGUUUCGGGAGAUGUUUAGCACUCGAUAUGUUCCGAGGGUUGAGAGAGAAAGGUUGACUCAAGAGUUCUUGGAACUAAAGCAGGAUUUAGAGUCGCUGACGGAGAUCACCAGGAUGUUCAAUGAGAGGGCGAUGUUUUUCCCCGAGUUUACUUCGGAGCAGGCUCAGAUGUCCCAAUAUCUAAGUAUGCUCAAGAGGGAUAUCAGGCAGUUUGUGUCUAUGCAGAGGUGCGAGACCUUGCUGGAGUUGCAGUAGGCGGCGUGAGUUGGAGAUUGAGUUACAGUUGCGAGAGCAGAGGCACGCCCCGGUGCAGUCGCAACCGACGCCGAAACGGUCCAAGACCGUUGAUUCCAGGUUGGGAAGUCGGAGCAGCCGUACUUGUGAGAAGUGCGUGAAGGGUCAUACCGGAGUUGGUAGGUCCGGUGGUGCAUGCUAUAAGUGUGGGAAAGAGGGGCAUUAUGCGAGUGAUUGCCAUCAGUUAGCCUUGAUUCAGGAUUUGAGGAUCCGUUAUCACUUUCAUCAGAUUGGACACUUGAGGGUCAACUGUCCACAGCUUGUUGCAAGACCGUUGCAGGCUCCAGCACUGGCUACUUUGAGGAUUACGGGAGGAGGUCAGGGUGGAGCGGAACCUCCAAGGGCUCAGGAACACUGGAAAGGAGUGAUGACUAUGUUCAGCUGGGGUUUUGCAGCAGGAAGUGAAAUGGGUAAUUGAUGAAUUGGAUUGACGUUUGGUAGGGAAAGGACUGUUCCCUCUUAGUUUCUCGAGCUCAAAGGAGUGAGCAGACUUGUGACCCGGGGGCAGGUUGUUCUCCAGCAUUGGGGUCAAUUGGUUGCAGAGGUUUGCAACAUUAUUCGAGCGCCGGAAAGCGCAGGUGGGUCGACUUGGCAUAAGUAAAUGUGGAGUCCGAUAUGCCUUGGAUAUCUUGCAUUGGAUGGUAAGGAUUGAUUGUACAAUCUAUUACACAUUGGGAGUGCAGAUUAUGUCUUGGGAGUAGUUGUAUCCCAGUUUAGGACAGAGGUUGUUUCAGUCGCUGCAGUUCAGCUAUGGACGUUUGAGCUGAUAAUUGGGUCAGGGUGCGAACCCUGAAGAGAUUGAUUCUAGUGCUUAGGAGCGGGAAGUUUAUUGAAACACCUUUGGAAAAAGGGGUAUUAUGGGGGAAGUCUGCAGGUAGGGUUUCUCAGAAUGGUCAUUCAGCAUUGACGGGACUCUGUGGUAUUAGCAACCGUUCGUGAUCGACGGACGGAAGCGCCAGCGGAAAGGGGUUCGUGGGCAAGGUAUUAGUUGGAGCAUUUAUCUUUUGGCCUUCAGGGCAUGAGUGUGGGGUCGCUCAAGCAUUAGUGGGUAACGGGUUCUCUGUAGUUCAGCAAGUUCUCAUCUGGUUCUUGGAGGUGUGUGAUCAUUCGGGAUGGGCUAGUAAUGGAACACUAGUGGGAAAGAGUUGGUCGGCCUCAGAUCGGUCGUCGGGAAGUGAGAAGGAUUGAGAAUCCUCCAGUUUUCAUGUAUUAUGAAGGCUUAGUCGAAUAUAAGUGGGGGAGUGUUACCCCGCGAUGCGGAUGUGGGAAGGGUUUUGAAAUGGGGAUAAGUUUCGUAACCCGAUAGGGAAAAUGGAGGCCCUAGUGGCUGCUUGGUUCAGGGUUGUGUGAAUCGGGGGUUCGGUAAAACUACCCAUUAUGUGUAUCACGUCUUCUCGGUAAUUGACAACAAAAUUUAGGGAUUCGGGUUGGAAGUCUGGUUAUGAUUGAGUUAAGUUCGAGUAUUCGCUCGAGGGUUUGCUCAAUUCUGAGGGUUUUAGAUUGAUAGAUUGAAGGUUUUGUUAGCUGCCAGGGCUCGACAACAUUGCAGCACGGGUAUGCGGGUUAUUUAGCGUAUGUGAUAGACGCAUAGGGCAGGGAGCAGAACAUGGGUUCAGAUGAGGUAGUUAAUCGAUGUGAGGCCUGGGUUUAGGCCGGGGAAAAUUUCAAGGGACGGAUUCGGAGUUCAGACCCCUAAAGGGCUAGAACAUACUGCUUGGGAGAGAUUCUCGGGAAGAAUGGAUCAAGGUGUCGUACGUCAGUUUUGAGCGGUCCGGAUAUACUGAAGGCCGGAAGGCGUACCAGUCAGGCCAAAGGCUCAGGGAACGGUCCAGAUAGACUGAAGGCCUAGGAGGGCGGUCCAGACAUGCUGAAGGUUCUAAGAGUGGUCUAGAUAGGCUGAAGGCUUGGAAAGGCGGUCCAGUCAUGUUGAAGACUCUGUAUGUGUUAUUGGAUCGGUAUGAGGAGUAUAAGUGAAUAGGUCGCCAUGAGAUGGUAAUCGAUAUGGUCUGGCCCCAAGUAUUGAUCAUGAUGAUGGAGUCGGCUGGAGGCCGUGUGUGGGCCUAGUUAGUAUGUGAUCGGAUUCUAAGUAUAUGGGAGUUCGAGAAUAGUAGUUGCUCUACAUGGAUAGUGUAGAGUGGAGUUUAGCACACUGAAACUUGCAAGUGUAGCAAGGAUUGUUGAGUAGAUUCCCUAGAAGGGGAAGGUAUAUAGCUCCAGAAGGAGUAUGGGCCCUCUGAAAGGAAGAAGUAGUGGAAAUGGGUGAUCGAAAGUACUUCAGUUAUUGAUAGUAAAGCACUGGGGUUGUACCAAAUAUACGGGGGCACUUACGGGUUGGAUUCCCGUUGAGGUUGUAGCAAUGUUGGAUAAUGCGGAGGCAUGUUUUCAGUCUCCUUGGGAGAGGAGGAGGAUAGUGGUUCUAGAUUGGAGGUUUGGACGAAGGAAGGUGAGACGGUAGGUUAACAGACUCGAGAGUAGUCUGGACCGGUGUUGAGGACUGUACGAGGAUAUUACAGUCGGAGGUCAAGGACCUAGAGGUCGUGAUAGGGAGGUGUGAGUGGGUUGCACUCCGUUGAGUAGAACCAAGGAGUUCGGAAGGGAUGCAAGGAUGAAGCCUUGGAUUUUCAGUAUGGUUGUGAUCAGGAGGUUAUGUAUAUAGCUGUAAAUCAUCCUGGGGAUGUCUGGAGGUAUCGUCAGUAUGUCGGGUUUUCCAGCCUAAGGAUGUUAGAGCAGGUUCAACAUGCGUGUGCGAUUGCAGGGGAGAGCUCAUGGGAGUUGCUCAGAAGCUGAAGGAUGUGCCAUCCUGUCAGUUCGGAAAGAAACGAGUUGGCUUCAGAAAGGAAAGCGAGAUAAGUCCCAGAAGUGAAUUCGAUAAAGGAUAUGCCAGUCGAGGAAAGGGGUAGCAGCUUGGUACCGGGUCAGGACCCGGUGGUUCAGGGUGAUAUCUAGCUUGGUAAGGGUCAAGUGAUCGUUGUGAUUUGGAGUGAUGAAAGUAUCAUCGGGUGAUCAUUGGUUAAUAAGGGUUGUUAUCAGAGCAAGAAGCUAGUGGCCGACUUGAAUCAGUUGUCGUAACUCUGGGAGGGAAGAGUGGACUUUAUAGAGGAUGGUUAGAAGUGUUCGGAGGAACCUGGGUCGAUUGAUACCAGGAGGUGCAUUAUGGGAAUAUCAUCUGGGAUGUGUUGCGGCCGGAUUCGAGGAUGAAGCCUAAAUUAAGUGGGGAAGAAUUGUAACACCCCGAGUUCAGAAGUAUAAGCUCAGGAUUCUAAGUGUAAAUAAGGAAGGUCGAGUCGGCGAGUCGAUGGAUAGACUCGGCGAGUCGGGUCACGAUUCAGGACGUGUGUUAAAUGACCAACUCGGCGAGUCGGCAGCUAAACUCGGCGAGUUGGUGCUGAAGGGAGAAAAACCCUAAUCCGGGGUUUGUACCAUAUAUAAAGCACAUUAUAGCCACCCUCAGCCUCUCUACCUUCCCUUUUAGUUCCAGAAAACCCUAAUUUCGUGUGAGGCUUCAUUGUUGGAAAGAUUGGGGCUUAGAAGAGGAAAUUGUGAAAGGAUCUUGAGAAUUGGGAGCUAGCAUCAAGAGGCUUGUAAAGAUCUGAGAUCUACAUCAGAUUUGUGUACAUCUCUGAGGUAAGGAGCUCUUGCCUUAAGAUUUUUCCUUUGUGGUUCAUCCUUGGUGGUUGUCUUGGGGAUUCUUUUACUUGGGUUGGAUUCAUUUCGGGUUUAGAGAUUAGAUCUGAAGUUGCAACUUCAGAACUAGGUUGUAUUGGAGUCAUAAGGGCAGAAAGCAUCAGUCUUUGGGCUUGUUUGAGAGUGCCUUUGUCCCAAAACCUUUUUGUAGCUUGGUUGGAGCUUGUUGAGCCUUGCAUGCACGUAAGGUUGUAAACUUUACGUGUGAAUUUGGCCCUAGGAGUCAAAAUCUAUGUAUUGGAAGCAGUGGAAUGGUCUGUGAUCGUCUGAAUGAGGAUGUCACGAGUAGACUCGGCGAGUUUGGGAGAUGACUCGGCGAGUCCGGCUUGAUAUCAGUCUUGAGUCGCAUAGUAACUCGGCGAGUCACAUGGGUGGACUCGGCGAGUUGUAUGAAGAUGGGCAGAAACUUGACGAGUUGGAAGAACAACUCGGCGAGUCUGUUGAAUAUUGCCUUGGACUCGGCGAGUCUGUUCUUGGACUCGGCGAGUCGGUUCUUGGACUCGGCGAGUCUGGUCGAGGAGUCCAAACCUUUUCUGGUUGAACGGUGAAUCGGCGAGCCGAAGGACGAAUUGGUGAGUUGAGUCGCGUCAUGGGAGUUUUCAGAACAUAGGGACUCGACGAGUCAACGGGUUGACUCGGCGAGUAGAGUCAGUCAGGAAGGUUGACUUUGACUGAGGACUUUGAAUUUGACCAAGAGUUGACCAGUUGAUUUCUAGGGGUAUUUUGGUAAUUAUUGGUAUUUAUUGAGUUCGGUCUUUAGUAUUGAUCUGCGGUGGAGUUCUUGUCGGAGGUGGGAGCAGCGUGAUCUUAUCUUUUCAGUCAGCAGUUGCGAGGUGUGUUAUCCUCACUAUAUCGAUAGGGUCUACGGCACCAAGGACGACCCUUUAUGAUUUACAUCCUGGUUUAGGAUGGUUGCUUUGUUAUUGCCAUGUUAGAUUUCAUCCUGGUUUAGGAUGGGUGUUAUGUUAUUGCUAUGUUAGAAUUCAUUCUAUUUAGGAUGGUUGUUAUGCUAGAGAUCGGUUAGAUCGGUUGUCAUGGUAUGCUACAUAUGAUUCUGAUCUGUUAGAUCGAAAUCAGGAUAGAUAGUAUGUUAUGCUUUUUAUGAUCCGUAAGGAUUGAUAUGUUAGUGACCUGUUAGGUCGAUGCUCUAGUUACGAGUGAAACUCUAUGAUUGAUGGUAAAUGAGAUAGAUAUGUUUGCUAUGUGUAUGUGCCAGUAUAUGAAAGUAUGCGUACAUGGUUAGUUGCUUGUUGGUUGGGUUGAGGCGGUCCUGCUUUGUGCUGAAGGCCAACACACCCUCUGAGCGGUCCGGGCAGAUUGUAGGCCCACGCGGCGAAUCAGUCAUGCCGAAGGCUCUGGAUAGAUUCAGAUAGACUGUAGGCCUAGUAGGGCGGACCAGUCCGGCCGAUGGCCCAGUAUGUAUGUUGUUUGAUUGAUCGUUAUGGCUAUGGUUUCUGCCAGCGUGGUAUUGGUAUUUUGGGGGUAACUCACUAAGCUUUCGGGCUUACAGUUUCAGUGUAUUGUUUCAGGUACUUCAGGAGACCGUGGAAAGCCGAAGGCAUGACCGUACCGCUCCUCAUCCUCAUGAUCUAUUUUGGGACACUCUGAUGAUAAAUGAAUUGGAAAUGUUUUGUAAAAACAAUUGCUAUUUGACUUUUUUGUUAGUAUUAAAAGUUUAAAUUUGGCGUAAAUUUUAUGGGCGUUACAAAAAUUAUCACCAAAAGAGAACUAUUCACCAUCUUUUCUACCAAUGUUCAUCAUCUUUAUUACCUAGCCUUACCCCUCACCUUCACCGAAAUUGAUAUUUACCUUCCACUAUAAUUUUUUUUUUCGCUAUAAAGGUAUUAGUCAAAACAUGUUUUCUGAAAUAGUACAAUGUUAUCGAAAUGAACCAAUUUUUAUAUACAAAAAUAAAACUAUUAUCGAGUGAUGGACAACUUUAACAAUUUUUACUAGAAAACAAGUAGAUAUAUAAUUUGGUGUCUAUGUAUCAUGUCGAAGUAUUAGAAAAAACUAUUACUUAUUUUUUUUUGUUUAUUAUAAUUUGCUUGCUAUUUAAAGUAAACAAUUAUAGCAUUGUGUUGUUGUGGAUGUAUCUGAAUUGAAUGAAUUGAGUCGUAUAUUUAGUUAUUGUUACUGAACCUUGAACAUAUAUCCAAGUGAGUUGAGUAUGAGAGUUUUAAGAUUCCCUUAAAUUGAGUUUUUAACAUACUGCUUAUUUGGUGUAGUAAACCAUUUGCACAAAAGAACUUAUUGCCUCUAGAAACUAAUUAUUGAAAAAAAACUAUUCGCACCCGUCGGUUGGCGCGGGUAAACGGCUAGUGUGAGUGUGUGUGUGUGUGUGUGUGUAUAUAUAUAUAUAUAUAUAUANNNNNNNNNNNNNNNNNNNNNNNNNNNNNNNNNNNNNNNNNNNNNNNNNNNNNNNNNNNNNNNNNNNNNNNNNNNNNNNNNNNNNNNNNNNNNNNNNNNNNNNNNNNNNNNNNNNNNNNNNNNNNNNNNNNNNNNNNNNNNNNNNNNNNNNNNNGGUGAUGCUACUAAAACACUCCUUAGACAUCUCAUUGACCUCUUUAUAAAAAGUUAACCUAUAAUUAAUUACAUAUAAUUAGCUUUUUCAGAAAACAAUCCAAUUUUAUCCAAUAAAAUAUUUUAAAAUUUAAUUAGGAUGUCUAUAUGGUAAAAUGGGGUGUCUAAGGGGUGAUUGUGGGCAAUCAUUUUAAUUAUUUUAAGAAAAUUAUUAAUAAAUAUUAUUGAAUUAAAAAUAAUUGAAAAAUAUCAUCUAAUUUCAUUGUAAGGGUAUUUUAGUCACUUAUCAUAAAUUUUAAAAAAAAAUUGCGGAAUUUAGAAAUAAUUAAUUCUCUUAACUUUAAAAAUUAACUAUUUUUUAUAGUUAUAUUAAUUCGGACAUUCUAAAAGAAUGUGUUCAUGAUUAUCUUGAAAAAAGUCAUUAUAUUCUGACAGAAUACUAUAAAAAUAUAUUAUCAAGAUCAAGAAUUUUUAAUGAACCAAUAAUUACAUUCAUUCUGAAAUAAUACGACUAAUACGGUUAACAAUUACAUUUAUUCUUAAAGAUUGAGAAUAGUUAAAAAUCAAAUAAAAACCUUGAAAUCUAAGUAAAACACUAAUAAUUUAUGAGAGAAUGUUAUUGCUAAUUAAUUCUGACAGAAUAUAUCGCUAAUCCCUUCUAAACAAAUAUUGUUGCUACUUCUCACAUAUUGACACAAUGUAUUCCCAUCUGAUGUGACUGCCGUGAGAAUAAUAAACUUUUAUCUUCAAUUAAUGACCUGUAAAAAUAAUAAGAGCAUUAUGUGAAAAACAUAUAUCAUAGUAGUAAUCCCAUAGAGGUGCAUGCUUUUAAAUGCACAAUCUAUCAAAUUGUUAUAAUUGGGUUGUGCAUUGAUCUUCUUGUCUUUAGAGGCUACCAUAUAGGAACAAUGGUAGUUGAUUUCUAUGGUUUCGUCAUUGUGGCCUCGCCUAUCUCAAAACUUGGAUAAUCUGAAGGAAAUGAAUAAAGAGAGUUAGCAUAAGCUAGUGGGACAUGAGAUUACGUGGGAUUGAUAUGUGUAUAGAUAAACAAGUAAUUAAGUUACGUAUGUACCAUCUGUUCCAAUGUUCGUUAGAUAAGGGAGCAACCGUCUAUAGCUAUUAUAUGAGCUCCGACUUAUGAAUACCUAUCAAUUGUCAUUUGAUUGCACAAAGUUAUAAUCAUGAGCAUAUGACAAUGCACACAAUGAUGACAUAAAUGUGCUUAGGACUAGAUGAAGUGAUGAGAAAUUGGAGAAAAUGGAAAAGUCAAUGAAGGCAAAGUGCCAAAGUAAACUUAUCAAUCUCUUACGCUUAACCAUACCUAAUUUCCAAUUUAAAUUUAUCAGAAUCAGUUCAACUAAAAAUAAUUUCAUGUUCGAAGUUUCAAAAGUAAACUUAAAGUAUUUAAACUAAUAUGACUCACAUUCUUGGGUAUUCAACAAAAUCAGCAAACAACUGAAUCUUAACUUUAUUAGAUCCAACAUUCUCGGGAAUUCUUAGGUGAAAAAUAUUAAAUGAAUGAAAAAGUAGCUAAUCAAGUAUGCAACAAUAAUCAUCGAUCACAGCUCCUUCAUACUGAAAUCGGAUUGCAAGGGUUAAUAGCAUCCUAUCUCUAUGUGUGUCUUAGUAUCAAAAACAGAAAUCACUUCAUUUUUAUUAUGGGUUACUAUGUCAGAUGCUUGAACAUCUCCAUUAACAAUGAACAUGGUUCCUUUGGGUAUUAAUAUGUAUAAAGACACAAUGACAUAUGUUACAAAAAUAAACAAAAUAAAGUUUAGAAUGUUAAAGAAAUUACCAAGAUAAGAAGAAUUGUACUGGUUAGAAAACUGAUUUCUAGGGCAAGAAAAUAACGAAAACAAACUUGAAGCACCAAUUGAAGAAAUGCAGUAUGGAAACAAGCGAACUGAUAUGGGAGGGAUGCGACGGUGGUUGAGGAUAUGGUAGCAUUGGCGACGACGGAUUUUCCAUUCAUAUUAGGUUCUAUUUUUGUUGGGAUUAGGAGUACGAAUGAGAAUCAAAAGAAGGGGAAGAUGAUUUAUACGGGGGGAUUGAGACAAAUGCUUUGCAGAAUAAAGGAAUGGAAGAUAUUAUAGGGUUUGAUUAUUUUUAUGGGGAAAGAAGAUAGUGAAGCCUGUAGCAGUAGGGAGGAAAGAAGGUUGAGGUGGUGGUGGUGUCAUUUGAGUAGAGAGUACAAGGUGGAAAACAUCGACGGAGAGUAGGAACCAACGAAGGGAUGGAUAAACCGAUCUGAGAUUUAAGGGCUAGGGUUAUAGAGAUGGCAACGUGAAUCAAGGGGAUAUCCCUUUAAUUUGACAAAUUAACAUCAAUAAUUAACAUGUAAUAUUACUUUUUUUACCCUUAUUCUAAGUUUUGAAAUAAUUGGUUCACAUUCAUUUGUAUAUCCACAGAAUAGAUGGUUAGAACAAAUGAACCUAACUCUCUCUCUCUCUCUCUCUAUAUAUAUAUAUAUAUAUAUAUAGAGAGAGAGAGAGAGAGAGUGUGAGAGAGAGAGAGAAUGUGGAUGACAUCUAUUGUGUGGACGUAAGGACAAUUCUGGACCAAUCAUUUUGGAGUAAUAUACACUUUUUUAUAUCAUUAUUUUAGGCAAUUAAGUAGUCAAAUCCAUAAAUUUAGGAAACUUAUCCAAAUCAAAUCAAUUAUAUUAAUUAUUAUUUGUAAUACUUAAAGAAUGCUUGUAUAAUUUUCUGGUCCCCUCCAAGAACAUAAUUUCAAAUUGAACAACAUUCUUAAAGAAUAUUUAUAAAUAUUCUUUCAAACAAAACACAAUUCUAAAUGAAUUACAAAAACAGCCAAGUAAAUUUUUUCUAAAUUUGAAACAAUUCUUAAAAGAAAACUAUUCAUUUGAUGCUAGGACAAUAGAAUAAUGAAUAAUUAUAGCAACAUCAAAAUAAAGAAUGAAGAAUCAGAAUCAUUCUUAUUGGAAAACUAGAUCAAAAGAAUUAGAAUUCUUAAAGAAUAUGCAAUAUUCUUACAGAAUGUGAUGUAGUUAUUUAGAAGAAUGUAAGGUAUUCUAAAAGAAUGUAUAACAUAUUCUUGACGUAUGCCUCUAGAAAAUGUAAAAUGUGUAGCAGAAUAAACUUGAUCUUCUUUACCAGGCUGUAGAAUUGAGUUUAUCUACUUCUAUUUGAAAUAAAAAAAUAGUUGUUACAAGAAUUCCUGCAAAAUGAAAAGACCAACUAUGUUAGGAAGUUUUUGCAUUGAUUCUCCAUGUGUAUGUCCAUCAUUCAAAUUUAGAUAUUUUCCGGAUGACAGAUCGUGAAGGAGUAUUAUCAAUUCAUCUAUAAAGAUUUUAUUUUUCAAGAACUGCCAUAUCUAGCAACAAUAAGACGUACGAGUUUAAGUUUACAAGCUAAACAUGUCAACCAUAUGUACUCUUGUUGGAUUAGAUGGAUUUUGCUGUUGGUAACAUCAAGGAACUGUAAUUUACUAUUUGUAACAUCAAGAAAUUAUAGUUUUCAUUACAUCUGCUACACAUUUGUUGCCUUCAAAUCAGAUCGUCAAUUUGAUCAGUCCAAGGAGAAUGUCUCUAUGAAGAGUAGAAACAUGAUGCAAAACACCACAAAAAACUACAUCAAUGUAUGUGGAAUUACAGCUCCAAUACAAGAAAACCACCAAUUUAACUUAUGAUCUGCCAUUUAAUAGAUUAAAAAAAAAUGAAGACAAUAAGAACAAUUUCAAUAAUAAAAGACGAACAAAAUCACCAAUUUCAACAAGAAAAUAAGGUAAAAAAACAUUUCAAAAGAACAAAAGAACACGAUCAGAACAUUUUAGUAAAGAGAUGAACAAAAUUACCAAUUUUAGUAGGAAAAAGAGAGAAAAGAAACACUUGCAGUAUAGAAAAAAUUACUACUGAUUCAGAGCAGGCGACAGGGAAGGAAGACGCAACCACAUGAAGGGUUUGGUGACGACUCCUUGAAAAAACAAUGACGGAAGAUGGUAGUGGCUGUGCUGAUUUUACUAGUGAGACCUUUAGUGGACCGAUGAUGGUGAGAACUGAUGGUGCUGUGGUAGGGUUGUGGGGAAGGACUUUCAAUCUGAUGAAGUUUGGUGGUGGUUGAGAUGGAGGAUUUAAAAACGCAGGAACAGGUCGAUGUCUUCUUGAUGAGGAUAGUUUUAAAUCAUUAAACUAAUUACCUAAAUAAAAGGGAUUAAGGAUUUAAUUAUUUAUUUACCAAAAUUAAUAUUUUAAAAUGAUGGGUCCACACUAAUGCUUACAUCCACACAAUAAUUGUUCAUCCACAUCUAAACCUACAUCUCUCUAUCUCUCUCUCUCUCUCUCUCUCUAUAUNNNNNNNNNNNNNNNNNNNNNNNNNNNNNNNNNNNNNNNNNNNNNNNNNNNNNNNNNNNNNNNNNNNNNNNNNNNNNNNNNNNNNNNNNNNNNNNNNNNNNNNNNNNNNNNNNNNNNNNNNNNNNNNNNNNNNNNNNNNNNNNNNNNNNNNNNNNNNNNNNNNNNNNNNNNNNNNNNNNNNNNNNNNNNNNNNNNNNNNNNNNNNNNNNNNNNNNNNNNNNNNNNNNNNNNNNNNNNNNNNNNNNNNNNNNNNNNNNNNNNNNNNNNNNNNNNNNNNNNNNNNNNNNAAUAGAGAACCAUUAUUAAGAAGGAACCAAUGGACCAAUCAUGAGCGUCGAAAUUUAAAGCGAUCAACGACUAAAGAAAUGGAUGUACACUUAUACAUUGGACGCACAUAUACCGGGUUAUACAAUAAAAUUCAUUUUUGUUUUCAUUUUUUUGUUUAUCAAAAACAAUUUUAAAGUUAACAAAAUAGCAAUGCCUUUAAACAUAAUAAGACGUGACAACCACACAUUUAUUAUUUAUUUUUAAUAGAAAUCUUAAAUACAUAAUAAUAAGUAGUUUAUAUUUCAAUAUUUUGCUGAUAAACACACACCCGUGUAUAUAUAUAUAUAUAUAUAUAUAGAGAGAGAGAGAGAGAGAUAGAGAGAGAGUAAAAUGAAUACACCUAACAACCUUAUAUAAGCUUAGGUACCUAACCACAUUAUACUACAUCAUUUUGCAUUAUAUUUUCAUUGCAAUCAUCAAAGGUUCUAAAACUUCAACCUUAACUUGAUUUACUUCCAAGAUUUUCAAACAUUCACCAUUAUAUUCCUCUUACAUCAUUUGAAUUGUAGAAGUAGUAUAUGAAGCCCACCAGGAGGUAUUCGACAGAAAGACGUCAUUUGAAGGAAGAUAAUGGUGAAAGUCCAAAGAUUUUGGAAGUAAUCAAGUUACAAUGUUGAGUUUUAAGAACUUUUGGCGAUUACAAUGUAAAUAUGAUACAAAAUUGCGUAGUAUGAUGUGGUUAGGUACCUAAGUUUAUAUAAGGUUGUUAGGUAUAUUCACUUUANNNNNNNNNNNNNNNNNNNNNNNNNNNNNNNNNNNNNNNNNNNNNNNNNNNNNNNNNNNNNNNNNNNNNNNNNNNNNNNNNNNNNNNNNNNNNNNNNNNNNNNNNNNNNNNNNNNNNNNNNNNNNNNNNNNNNNNNNNNNNNNNNNNNNNNNNNNNNNNNNNNNNNNNNNNNNNNNNNNNNNNNNNNNNNNNNNNNNNNNNNNNNNNNNNNNNNNNNNNNNNNNNNNNNNNNNNNNNNNNNNNNNNNNNNNNNNNNNNNNNNNNNNNNNNNNNNNNNNNNNNNNNNNNNNNNNNNNNNNNNNNNNNNNNNNNNNNNNNNNNNNNNNNNNNNNNNNNNNNNNNNNNNNNNNNNNNNNNNNNNNAUAUAGAGAGAGAGAGAGAGAGAGAGAGAGAGAGUAAGUUGUUGGUUUCUUGGGCAAACUAGAAGAGGUGACAUGGUUUUCCCAAUCUGUGUAGUUAAUGGAGAAACUCAACGAGUUGAAGGACAACUCUACGAGUUGGGUCAAUUUGGACUGUUGACUUUUAGUUUCAAUUUAUGUCAUUGAUCUUGUUUGUCCCAAGGAAUUCUUGAGGUAAUCUAAUUUGUAUUUAAGGGAAUUAUGGACUUAGGAUAAUGCCCAUAUGUGGUUGGGCCCAAUUUGGAAAAUUUGGCCAAUGGUUCAACAGUGUGCCUUUGGGCCUUUCAUAUUAUAGUUUGGGUUAUGGAUUUAGAUAAGGCUAGGUUAGGGGUAAAAUGGUCUUUUUACCCGAAGUAUGAAGUUGUGGUUAUGGAUUGGAACACAAUUGUUAAUUGGGUGUUGUUUUGAUCUGACAGUUCGGAGGUGUCGUCACGACAACAACUAGGGAUUUCUAUCAGUGUGCUUCAGCAGUGCGAGGUGAGUCUCCUCACUAUGUUUAGCGGGUCGAAGGUACCAAUUUCGGCCCAUGGUUUUUAUGUUAGGAUGCCAGUUCUCUGCAUGACUCUUGCAUGUGUAUGCAUUGGUAUGUAUGAUGGGCGGGGCCCGAUGGUUAUUCUAUGUGCUAGUAUCAGGUUAAGCAUAUAUGAUUGUAUGUGGGCGGGGCCCGUUGAUUGUGCAAUAUGCUACUAUCUUAGUGGGAAAGGCCCAUUAUGAGAGUGUUGGCGGGCCCGUAUCUCAUUGUUAUGCGAGUGUAGGCGGGUCCGUAUCUCAUUGGGCAGGGCCCGUUAUUCAAGUGUGGGCGGGGCCCAUAUCUCAUUUGGGCACGGAUCGUUAUAUGAUAUGUAUGGUAUGAGGUAUCUUAGAGAACUCAUUAAGCAUCUUGCUUAUGGUUUUCAGUUUAUGUUUCAGGUACUUCGGUUUUCAAUGGAAGAGCUCAGGAUGGUUGCAGGGCACACACCACAUGUUUCCCCAUAUAAUAUUCUACUUUCAUUUUAUGACAACUGAUACAUUGUUUUUUUUUUUGAGUUGUAUGCUUGGUUUGUGAAAAUACUAGUUGAUCUAUUUUAAAAAUGAAAAUUUUGGGACUAUAUUUUUGGAUGUUAUAAAAUGUACACCAAUAAUGGGACUACUAGGCCGCGAAUUUACCACCUUCGUUCCUAAAAAAUGAGGUGAUUGUGUUUCCUUUUCAGUAUAAAACUACAUUCUCUAAGCAAAUUCACGAAGGCUAUAUAUGUGAUAAACACCACCCAAUCGGAAUGCAAGGGCCCGAUGUAUGUCGGAUCGGUUGUCCGUUCUUCAAAACUGACUGUGGAAAAGAAUUCAGCUUAUACUUCUUGAUAAACGGGCUAUUGAAUAGAAAAUAAAUUGCACCACCUGUUGCAUUGGAAAGUGAAGCCUUAUCCUACAAAUAACAUUGUCCAAUAUCGUUCAACUUCUGUUACCAUACCAGUCACACGUAGAUAUGACCAAUCGACCAAUGGUGCUAAUGCAAACUCCCAACUGUAUAACCAUCCAAGCUUGUUUGCAUAAUUAUUAAGCAUGGUUUGUGAAACAUUUUGAGGGAAACGGUUUAAUGGAUGUAUACUAGGAACAUCAAUGUGUUCUUGUUCUUCCGGAAUUGCACAUUGUAGCCUCAUGGUACCUGAAAGAUUAACAACAAACUAAACACCAAAAAAUCCACCAAACAAUAAAGCGAUUAAGAUGUAAACAGAAAACUGAGUAUCCGGUUUUCUGGUCGUGGUCACGAAGACCAUGUCGUGAUGUUGGUUUGUGACAAAUCAGUUCAUCGGUUAUCCCAAGGUCAAAUCGAACUAAAUUCAUGUUUGGGGUUUAUGUAAUCUGCCAAUCUAAUGCUUUUUAACAUACAUGCAACCACAAAAUCACAUAACAAUGAACUAAUUUGACAUUUAGGCUUCAACGCAAACCCUAAGUCAAAAUUCUUAUAAAUAUAUGGAAAUUAAAGAUUAUGGUGCUAAUACAACAUACCUUUGAUGAUAAUAACAUAAUAUGGAAGCACGAAACAAAAAUUUUCAGCCAAAAUCAACGUGGGGGGACUAGUUCUGAUAUCACGUCGUAAUGUUUGAAAAGUAAGUGUUGAAGAUAGCAACAAAUGUUCUUAACUUACUCCGUGACUUUGACUAAUUCACGUCGCGAAUCUGUGCCAAUUUUCUAGGUUGUGAAUUUUGGGCUCAAAACUUUGAAUUUGGGUAUAAAUUAGCCUUUAGCACAUAUGAUCCAUAAAACUAGUCUUUUUCUUUUUCACUUAUAUAAUUAUGAAAAUCAUGAUUAUUAAAAUGAAUGUUGUUCAUAAAAAUAUUUUUCCUUUACGAUAAGGAUGCCACACUUGGUUUUUGCCUUUUUCUAAAAAUUAAGAUGACUGUGAUUAAGAUCUAUCGCAAAACUUAAAUAAAUAUGCAAAAACGAAAAGAAAAACGAAAAUAAACAUGCAAACCGAGAUCAGGUUGCAUCUCGAGAAGCGCUUCUUUUUGUAGGAGUCAUGAGUUAGACUUCGUUCCAUCUCAUGUUGAAUUUGUUGGAAUCAGGCUCUCUACUUGAACCUUUUUUUUCCCUCCACCUUUCUUGUAUGCUUAUAUCCUUCUUAAGUAGCCCUUCUUAGAAUUCUCAUUUUUCGCUUUAGAAUCACCUUCCUCGAGAUUUCGUUUCACCCCUUUAUUCUUAACAAGUUUAGGUUCUUCUUUUUCUUUUUGUACCUCCUUAGCUUCAAAAUCCACCUUGUCCAAAGUUGGUUGUCUCAAGUCUUGUGUAACUUCUUCUUCUUCUUCUUCAUCACUUGAUGCCAAACUUUCUUCACUUGCCUCACUAACUAGAGAAUUUGGAGUUUUAUAAGCAAAAACCUCAAAAACCAUUGGAAUUGAAGCUCUAGGCUUAGUACGCUUGAUGUAACAUUCUGUAUCCCAGGUAUAAUAUCUAUGCAUUUAUUUAUGAGUUGUCUGAGCUAACUCGACGAGUUGUGUGGCCAACUCGUUGAGUAAGGUUGAAUUGGCCACGUGGGUUUCAUGACCAACUCGACGAGUCAGAGAGCUGACUCGCCGAGUUGGCGUUGUGUGAGGAAACCCUAAAUCUCUGGGGUUGGGCCAUAUUUACAGGACCUUAAUCCCUCAUUUCCACCUCACCACCCACCCUACUCCCCUGUGUGAAACCCUAAUCGUUUGUAGUGAGCUAAGAGAGAAAGAGAGCUAAUCCUUGGGCACUUUGGUGAACUUUGUGAAGAAGAAUAUAAUAGUAUCAAGCAAGGAACAAGAAUAGGCUGUGGGAUCUGGCAUGAUUUCAACCAAAGUUUCUGUUGAAGGUAAAAUGUCUAUACCUUGCUCACUAGUUUGAUUAGAUCUCAUUUUAUGGAGUUUUAUGGCUUAUUCCAUAUUCUUGAGGCUUGGAGUGUACCAAGUGAUUUAGACUUCAGAUCUGGACCUUGUGAGGUCCCUAGAGUCAAAGGGUCACAACUUUAUCCAAAUAAUAAAAGAGCUUUCAUGAUUAAGAACCAAAAUGAGAGUUGUUUUGGCAUUUCAAGCCCUAAGUGCCAUACAUGAACGUAAAGCUUGUAGCUUUACGUGACAUUCGAGCCUUGGGAGGCUAGAUCUAGAGUUUUGGGUUAUAGAUCUGACUUAAAACGUCUGAAUGAGGAAGUAAACUGAAUGGACUCGUCGAGUCAAUGAGCUGACUCAAUGAGUCGGCUAGGGUUUUCCCCAAUAAGUCAGGACAUGGGUAACUCAGCGAGUUAAGUUGGAUUUUCGCGACAUCUCAGAGGAAACAAGGGGACUCGACGAGUCACAUAGAUGCACUCAACGAGUCCGGUCAACAUGGACUGUUGACUCAAGUGUUGACUUCUGUUGACUUUCGGGUUUUGGUCAGACGGGGAUUAUGCGGACCAUGGAGGGGUAAAAUGGUCUUUUACCCAUUUCAAGAGUUCGAGAGAGAAAAUAAUUUAGAGUCGUGUUUUAAGUGUUAAUUAGAGAUAAUUAUCCUAUGUGUUAGGCGGAUGCUAGUUCGAGAUUUGUGUACGAGGUGAUUUGCUUGCUUGCUUACGAGGUGAGUCUUCUCACUAUACUUACCUAGAGUGGUAACUUUUGUGUGACCGGAGGGUCUUAUGUGCUUAUAUUGAGUAUUGUGAUAUCCUACAUUAUGUCUUUGUGAUUUAUGAUGUGUAUUAUUAUGAUCUUACUGAGUUAAAACUGGAGGGUCCACCCGAGUUGUGGGACCGGAGGGUUCCACUGAGACACAUUAACCGGAGGGUCUUAUUUGAGUAUAGCCAUGAGAGGCUACUAAGAUGUGUGUGGUAUUUUGGGGAACUCACUAAGCUUCGUGCUUACUGUGUUAUGUGUUAGGUGUUUCAGGUACUUCUCAGGAUCACGGGAAGGCACCGACUUGAUUGUACACGUAUGAGUUGGAGAUAUGUUUUGGAGGAUCCUGGAUUGUGUUUUAAACAAUUUAUGAACAUGUGUUUUUGAUAACUCGAUAUUUAGGGGUUUUUAUGGUUGUGUUAAUGAAAUUAAUGUGAUUUUUAAAUGAAAAUUGUGUUUGGAAAUUUACGGUGUUACAAGUUGGUAUCAGAGCCUUGGUUUGAGGGAUUCGGAUAUACCUUCGGGUGUGUCUGGAAUCAAACAUAGGAUUUGAGGAAAAUUUUCAAAAGAAAUGAUUUUUCUAAAAACGAGUAAGUGUUUUAAUGUAACAUUCUGCUUAUUUAAUAAUUAAAUAGAUAAAAUUGAUGAACGAAUAGUCGCCCAAAAUCCAUAUUAUUUAGUGGAGUGUUGGUUUUGGGGAGCCAAAUGAUACAUUUUAGACUUUCCUGGGUCAAAGUGUAAUUUUAGGAUGUAUUUUGUAAAGAUUUUUAGAAGUUAGGGUGUGUUUGGUAAGUAUUGGACUAGAUUUGAAAGAGAUUUCAGAAAGCAGGGGCUAAAUCGUAAAAAUUGGACUUGAUUCGAAAGGAAUUAUAGGAGCAAGGGUAUAAUGGGUAAAUAUGGGAGUUGUUUCGAAAAGAUUUUGACGGAGAGGGGCCAUUCCUACCAUUAUGGAAUGAAGUUGUUAAGGAUCGGGUAUUUAAUUAUUACAUUGCCAAACCCUAAACCUAAUACACCUCUACAGCCGCCACCCUCUCCACCCUCCUUCCCCUCCGGCCGCCACCCUUCUUCACUCCCAUUUUCGAUUAGCGGGCGACGACAGCGACACUGAACUUCCACCAUGUUUGUUGCCGGCAAGAGAGAGUUCAACGACUCGAAGAUUUUGGCGAUGAGAUUGAGAGGAGUUGAACGAGCGAAGCUGCUGCCGCCACUGCCAUUCGAUUCCGAGCACUGCCACUACGAAUUCGCUGUCGGAGAAGUCGUGACCAGUCAAGGAAGGAACGUCGCAUACCAAAGAUGAAUUGUUCUUCUCGAAUCUUCGGUGCUUCACGCAGUCACGACCGCCGCUUGUUGCUCCGGUCAACAUCUUCCACACCGAGGGUGGUUGUAGCGUGCUUUCAAGCUUCCAUAUCGCAAGUUUGUGAGUAUCCUAGUGUGGUUGCUCGUUGUAUGGGUACAUCUCGGCCGAGAAAAUCAAGACAUGACAUCACCACUGCCUGGCACCAUCAACCACCACGUUAGGUGGUUGUGUAUAUGUGUGUGUGUGAGAGUUUUGCGUAAGUAUUCCACCGUGUGCGUGUCUUUGUGUGUGUAUGAGUGUUUUCGACGAGUGGGAUAUUGUAUGUAAUUGUUUUUGGCCGGAAAAUAGAGAAUGGCCACCACCACCACCACCGUGAGGUGGUGGCUGCCACCGUGUGCCACUGCCAACCACCACUAGAGUGGCUGUGUGUGUGUGUUCAUGCUAGUUAGUGUGUGUGUUUACUUUUGGAUUAAAGCAUGGUAAUUGUAAUUAGCAAGAAGAAUAAUGAAAAGAACCAUAACUACCACCGUGAGCCGCCAUUGACUACCACUACCCUGAGGUGGUAGUGGGUGGUCCUCGACUAGUGAAACCCUAUGGGCCUAGUGAAACCUUAAUUGAUCGAAAGACCUAGCUAUUGGGCCUAUUAGGCUAUAAUUGGGUUGGAAACCCUAAUUAGGGUUUGGAAAACCCUAAUUUUGGGAUUAUUGGUUUGGACUUAUCGGGACCCGCAUUUUGGACCAUUGGAGUGAAGUGAUGACUCAAGCCCGAUUUCAUUGUAUGUUUACACUUAAUGGAUUAAGUCCUUAAUGGAUUAAGCCCUUAAUGGGUUAAGUAGGAACACUUAAACCUAAUCGUCAUUUUAUGUGAAAAGCCCUACUUGGGUUUGGGUUCUUGUGGGGCUAUUUAUUGGACUAAGUUGUUGUGGGCCUUUGUGGGCCAAUUGGGAACAUAUUUAUGGACUAAAAAAAUUAUUGGGCCUUAGGAUAAGACCCAUUAGAGAGGUUUGGGCCCAAUUUGGAAAAUUGGGUCAUAACUGGGCCAUGAUCAGUGAAAAGUUUGCACUUCGUGCCAUAGAGGUAAUGCCUCCAUAUUUUCAGAGCGAAAACUACCGCUGCCAACUCCAAAUCAUGAGUCGGGUAAUUCUUUUCAUGCUCUUUCAGCUGUCGAGACGCAUAUGCUAUCACCUUUUCUCUUUGGGUCAAAACACAACCCAAUCCAACACCAGACGCAUCGCUAUAAACAGCGAAGUCUUCAACUCCAUCGGGUAGAGAAAGUAUCGGUGCCUCGCAUAGCUUCUUCUUUAACUUCUCGAAUGCUUCUUUAUGCUUCUCACUCCAAGCAUAAGUAGCUCCUUUGUGGGUCAAAGCUGUUAAUGGAGUAGCAAUCGAAGAAAAGCCUUGGAUAAACCUUCGGUAAUAUCCGGCUAAUCCUAAAAAGCUUCGAAUCUCCGUGGGACUUUUCGGUUGUUCCCACUUCGUCACAGCUUCGAUCUUCGCUGGAUCAACCAUUAUCCCUUCUUGGUUGACCACGUGACCCAAGAAUUGGACCUCACGAAUCCAAAAAUCACAUUUGGAGAACUUCGCAUAAAGCUUCUCCUUCUUCAAAACUUCUAACACUUCUCGCAAGUGUCUGCCAUGCUCCUCCUGGCUUUUCGAGUAGAUCAGAAUGUCGUCUAUGAACACUAUCACGGAUUUAUCAAGGAAAGGAUUACAAACCCUAUUCAUCAAAUCCAUGAACGCUGCUGGAGCAUUGGUUAGUCCAAACGACAUAACCAAGAACUCGUAGUGUCCAUAUCUAGUUCUGAAUGCAGUCUUCUCGAUAUCUUGCUCUCUUACUUUCAGCUGAUGAUAUCCUGACCUAAGAUCGAUCUUCGAGAAAUAGCUCGAACCUUGCAAUUGAUCAAACAGGUCAUCAAUCCUCGGCAACGGAUAUCUAUUCUUUAUUGUUGCCUUGUUCAGCUCUCUGUAAUCGAUGCACAUUCUCAUACUUCCAUCUUUCUUCUUUACAAAUAACACCGGAGCUCCCCAGGGCGAUGAACUAGGUCUAAUGAAACCUUUGUCCAAUAACUCCUGAAGUUGCAUCAUCAGCUCCUUCAUCUCCGUCGGUGCUAAUCGAUAAGGUGCUUUUGCUAUUGGCGUGGUUCCUGGUAACAAGUCUAUUCUGAACUCCACUUGUCUAUCAGGUGGUAAUCCAGGAAGAUCCUCGGGAAAUACUUCCGGAUAAUCACACACCACUGGAAUGCUCUGCAUCACCUUCUUUUCUUUCUUAGCAUCAAUCACGAAUGCUAAAUAUGAUGUACAUCCCUUGGUCAAACACUUUCUGGCUUUCAUUAGAGAAAUGAUUCCAGAAUUCACUCUGCGUUUGUCCCCAUACACCAUAAACGAAUCUUUCCCAGGCGGGUUUACUUUAACUAUCUUCUUCUUGCACAAAAUUUCGGCAUCAUUGGCGCUAAGCCAAUCCAUUCCCAAGACGAUGUCGAAACCAUUUAGUUCGAUAGGCAAUAAUUCCUCGAGAAACUUAUUCCCAUUAAGGUCGAUCAAGACGUUUUUCAUACGAUGGCUAACAGGUACAAACUUGCCACUAGCUACUUCGACUAAUAAAGCAUUAUCUAGUCUAUCAACAGGCAAAGCUAGCUUUCUACCAAACUCAUGCGAAAUAAAGGAGUAGUUGGCUCCAGAAUCAAACAAUAUAUGAGCAGGUAAUUCGUUUACGAGAAAGGUACCUGAAGCGACAUCAGCUUCAUCUUUCGCAGCCUCAAGUGUCAUCUGGAAGGCUCUCGCCUUCGGCUUUGGUGGAAUGUUGGGCCUAGCUGCCUCCUUCUUCUUCGGACAGUCUUUCAAAAUAUGCCCCUCUUCAUUACACCCAAAACACAUCCUUUUGUUGUUCGGACAUUCAUUGGCAAAAUGUCCAACCUUUCCACACUUGUAGCAGGUCACAUCCUCGCUACAUUUCCCAAAGUGCUUUUUCUUACACUUAUCACACCACUUUGCUUCGCCUCCUUUUCCUCCAAACUUUUUCGAAUCAGAUUUCGAAAAUUUGCUCUUCUUACUGGAACCAGAUGUUCCUUCAAACUUCCUUUUCUCACCAACCUCAACCUUGACGGUGGUUCUCCCCUUGAUCAUGUUCUCCACAGACUUGGCAGCCCAGAUAGCUGCCUCUAGAGUAAGUGCCUGACGUACCGGCACCUCGUACUCCCAUGGAAGUCCCUUCGCAUACCGAUCCACCUUUGUCAGCUCGUCUGGAACGAUACGCAAGGCAAACUCCAUCUUAUCGGUGAAGUUAUUGGUGUACUCAUCCACUGACAUGCUACCCUUCGUCAAUGUCAAAAACUUGUUCUCCAACUCCAACAGAUUUUGAGCCGAGCAGAACUUGCGCUUGAACUGCACCAAGAACUCUGCCCAUGACAAUUGCAGUGGCUCAUUAGGGCUUAAGGUCUUCCCUAGAGUGUUCCACCAACGAACGGCUCCACCUCGGAAUUGUCGCACGGCAUAGAUAGUCUGCAACUUGCCUCUACAGCCACAUGUCAUAAAGGCUAACUCCAUUUCGGAGAUCCAAUCCAUAACCCCAAUCGGAUCCUCCUUUCCAUUGAAGGUCGAUGGUUUACAAGUCAAAAAGUCCUUGUACUUGCAUCCCAUUCCAUCAUUCCUUCCAUCAUGGUUAUCUUGCCUAACUAUCGGUGGGUUGGCUGGACCAACAGACCCACUGAAGUUUCCACCUUCCGAGUGCCCUUCAUUCAGUUCAGGCUCUUCCACACGAAUCGACAGUUCUUCACGAUUUUGUUGAAGCAACCGUCUAGUUUCAUCCAUCUGACGAUCCAACAUCGUCUGAAUCAUCAAUUGCACACCAGCCAUGGUUAUUGGCUCAGGUGCUGCUGCUACGACAGGUAUUGGCUCAAUCACUGGUGGUUGAUUCCUGUUUUCGUCAGCAUUUCCAACUCCACUUCUUGUUCUCACCAUUUUGAUCUACACCGAAUAAGGUGAAAUUAGAUCCUCAAUCAUGAUAGAUAUUCAAAUCAUCCUUAUCACUCCGAAACGUUUACAUGCUAGUUCUAAUAUCGUAGACGUACGCUUAGAAUCCUACACACAUAAGGUUUCUAGAUCCGGUCGGCAACAGACCAUAGAUCCGAACAAAUAAUAUCAUAUAUGGCAACAUAUAACAUUUAGCACAUAAAGCAUUUUAGGCAACUUUCCUAAAAUAAACUAGUGCUCGUGUCUAAAUCACAACAGACACACAUCUCAAAACUUCACUUAGCAUUCUAAGUUUAAGUCUAGAAAUCCUACAAAUUCCUAGUUCGCUUAAACUAAUGCUCUGAUACCAACUGUGACAUCCCCAAAAUCUCGGCCAGAAAAGACCGAUUUUCAUUUAUGCUUUUAAAUAUUUUCAGAGUAAAUCCUUUUGAUUUGAAAGAGUUGCGGAAUUUGUUCCCAAAAACAAAACAUGAUAAAACAUUGUUUACCGAAGCAUUUCAUAAAAGAAAUGUAUUUUCAUUAUAAUCAAAACUCGGGGUGUCAUGUUCCGAUACAGACCAAUAAGCAUAAACGAAUACAUUACAAGUCAUAUAACAAAUAUAAACAUAUGCAGACUUGUAAACAAAACAACUUGAUGGUUCAUCCAUCUCAUGCCCUUCCGCCACUACCUGUAAUACAAUUUAAAACUGAGUGGGUCAGGCUUGGGAGCCUGGUGAGCAUAUAGGGUUUUCAACCCACAAUAAAUAUCAUAUUUAAUUUUCACCAACCAACAAUAACCCAAUUACCCAUUCCCGUUAUUCUCACUUUAAUGUCCCUAAAACAACUAACAUAAGGGACCUAGUCUAAGAAUAUUUCAUCGGGGCGACAACACAUGCUUCGGGGGUACCUCAGCAAUAUAAGUCAAAUAAGGCAACCAUGAGGGGGAUGGAGUACAGCGAAUGAACACCCAAGUUCAUUAACACCUACAGGUGGCGAACCUGCUAAUGUUUCCACAAGACUGUCUAGAAUAGCCAGUGGUCGUCAUCUAAACUCCGCUAGAUGACUCAAUCAAACAACAACGAGGCCUCUCAUCUGUUUAUUACACACCAACUGUCUACCCAUGUUCUACCCAACAUAUUAGUAGAUAAAAAUAUACAUUUGUAUACAUAGUUUAAAGAAAACCUGUAUAGCAUGCUUUAAUCAACACAUAUAUCACAUAACAGAUGAGGCACACACACACAUAACACAUAUCUCAUAAAGAAAUAAGCAGAUCUAUAAGAUAGAAGAGAGUGAAUACUCAUUCACACAUAACACAACCAAAUAUAUACACAUAGCACGUAUUUUUAUAUAAAAUACUUCGUAUUAUUGUAUUAGAAGAAAUAACUACACACUCACUUGAUCAGAAGAUGAUCGGACAGCACUACGGCUUAUAGAAGUAGUAAUCCACAGCAGAUCUGGAAGAUCUCCUCGAAAAUCGAACUUCUCGCGGGCAGAGCUUCGACUCGGGAACCGCACUUUUCGGGAUCUUCGGGAUCUCGGGACUUGCCUCGGGGCUAGAGUAUGAUACCGGGACUUCGGGGUAGCUUCGGGGGUUUUUGCACAGAGCUUCGACACGAAAACGAGAGGGAAUUGGCAAAAAUACCCGGAACCCUCGCAUCCUAUUUAUAGGAGGCUGGAGCCUCGGAGUACGCGGGGCGUACUGCGUUACGCGGGGCGUACUGCCCAAAACGUCAUUGCUUACGUAUCCGAAGUGCUCGAGUGCGAGUGUCGACAUCCCUCGGAGUACGCGGGGCGUACUCGAGUACGCGGGGCGUACCUCGGAUCAGAUCGGUGACUCCUUCGGAUAAUGCUUCCGAAUUUUGAUUUAAAUAUAAAUACAAAAUGAUUAAUAAACUUCGGAAAUUCAUAACUUCUUCAUACGAACUCCGUUUUCGACGUUCUUUAUAUCCACGGAAAGGUGAGACCACGCUCUACGACUUUCGUUUAGACUCCGUCGGCUAAUUUUGACUUUAUUUUUAUUAAUUAUUUUUAAUAGGCCGCGACAGAAACUUUCGUUAUAAAUUCAUAACUUCUUCGUUUGACGUCCGUUCUCGCCUAACUUUUUAUCGCUUCGAUACCAACAAUGAGAUCUUCGAUUCUCAUUUAGAUUGCUUCGGCUAACAACCGCUCGAUCUCAAAUCGAGUAAAACAGGCUGUAUACCGCUAAGCCGGAACUUCGAUAAAUCAUAACUUCCUCAUACGAAGUCAGAUUUGGGCGUUCUAUAUAUAUUCGGAAACCUCGUUUCAACUACUACAACAUUAACCAAAGAUAUUAAGUUUAUUUUACACUUAAAUUUUGACGCUUAUUUUUAUUCUUAAUUAAUCAAACCACAUAAUUAAGCAAUUAAGCACAAAACACAUAAUACUCAAAUAAUACAAUCUUAUUAUUUCAAAACGGGUUACAAAGGUUAACCUAGACUAUUACAUUGCUAAAAAUGGCAAGCCCGGAAACACAGGCGUUACAAUUCUCUCCACCUUAGAAUGAUUCCGUCCCCGGAAUCACACAUCAACAAACAAAUGCGGAUAGCGACUCAACAUGUCACUCUCCGUCUCCCAGGUGAGAUUCGGCCCAUUCGUGUGUUUCCAUCGGACAAGCACUAACCCAACCAUUUUGCGUCGCAACUUCUUAGUCUUUCGGUCAACAAUUGCCUCUGGUUCUUCAAUCAACCUUUUGUUCUCAUCAAUUCUCAAUUCAGAAAUUGGAAUUAUAUCGGGAACUUCUCCCGUGAACUUCCUCAAAUAACACACAUGAAAAGUGUUGUGAAUUCCAUUCAGUUCUUCGGGUAAUUCGAGCUUGUAAGCUUGGUUCCCAAUCCUCUGAAGAACUUUAAACGGUCCAAUAAACCUUGGACUCAACUUUCCCCUUUUACCAAAUCUUAUAAGUCCCUUCCACGGCGAGACUUUAAGCAAAACCGAAUCCCCAACCUCAAAAGUUAUCGGUCUCCGCUUCUUGUCAGCAUAGCUCUUUUGACGAUCCUGAGCUGCUAACAUUCUUUCCCUAAUUAUUUUCAACUUUUCAGCAGUUUGAUGAACCAACUCCGGUCCCAUAAACUGCUUUUCCCCAGCCUCAAGCCAACAAGACGGCGUACGACACUUCUGUCCAUACAAAGCUUGGUAAGGUGCCAUCUUAAUGCUCGAGUGGAAACUAUUAUUAUAGGAAAAUUCUACCAACGGUAAAUGUUCAUCCCAAUUACCUAGGAAUUCCAGAGUACAUGCUCUCAGCAUAUCUUCAAGUGUUUGUAUCGUUCGUUCGCUCUGACCAUCAGUCUGCGGAUGGUAAGCUGUACUUAAACACAACUUGGUACCCAAUUCCUCUUGUAGACUUUUCCAAAACCUCGAUGUGAAACGGCUAUCACGAUCCGACACAAUCGUUAACGGAACACCGUGAAGCCUCACAAUUUCCUUCACGUAAGAAUUCGCAAGCUUCUCCAUAGACCAUUUCUCCCUGGCCGCUAUGAAAUGCGCACUCUUAGUGAAUCGAUCAACGACCACCCAAAUCAUGUCGUGACCAUUCUUUGUUCUGGGCAGUUUAGUGACAAAAUCCAUAGCAAUGUCUUCCCACUUACCCAUAGGCACAGGCAAAGGUUCUAAACUCCCGUACGGUUUCUGAUGUUGUGUCUUGACUCUCGCACAAGUCACACACUCGGCCACAUACUUUGCAACAUCAAGCUUCAUCGUCGGCCACCAGUAGUAGGGUUUCAGGUCCCUAUACAUUUUAGUGCUACCCGGAUGAAUCGAGUACAUGGUCUUGUGAGCUUCUUCCAUCAGAAGAUCUCUGACUCCUCCUGUCUUAGGUAUCCAAAUCCGAUCUUGGAACACCUUCAGUCCAUGACUGUUUACACCGAACACCAACGUUUUGCCCAAACGUUCCUCCUUUCUGUCAUUCUUCUCAGAAGCUUCGCUCUGAGCUUUCUUUAUACUUUCCAAAAUAGUUGAGACAACUUCAAUUCUCAACGCUCUUGGCCUUUUCCUUUCGGGAUUGACUUUCCGACUGAGAGCAUCAGCAACAACAUUAGCUUUACCGGGGUGGUAAAGUAUCUCGCAGUCAUAGUCUUUAAGUAAUUCUAGCCAGCGUCGUUGCCUCAUAUUCAAUUCUUUCUGAUUAAAGAGGUAUUGGAGACUCUUAUGAUCAGUGAAAAGUUUGCACUUCGUGCCAUAGAGGUAAUGCCUCCAUAUUUUCAGAGCGAAAACUACCGCUGCCAACUCCAAAUCAUGAGUCGGGUAAUUCUUUUCAUGCUCUUUCAGCUGUCGAGACGCAUAUGCUAUCACCUUUUCUCUUUGGGUCAAAACACAACCCAAUCCAACACCAGACGCAUCGCUAUAGACAGCGAAGUCUUCAACUCCAUCGGGUAGAGAAAGUAUCGGUGCCUCGCAUAGCUUCUCCUUUAGCUUCUCAAAUGCUUCCUUAUGCUUCUCACCCCAAGCAUAAGUAGCUCCUUUGUGGGUCAAAGCUGACAAUGGACUAGCGAUCGAAGAAAAGCCUUGGAUAAACCUUCGGUAAUAUCCGGCUAAUCCUAAAAAGCUUCGAAUCUCCGUGGGACUUUUCGGUUGUUCCCACUUCGUCACAGCUUCGAUCUUCGCUGGAUCAACCAUUAUCCCUUCUUGGUUGACCACGUGACCCAAGAAUUGGACUUCACGAAUCCAAAAAUCACAUUUGGAGAACUUAGCAUACAGCUUCUCCUUCUUCAAAACUUCUAACACUUCUCGCAAGUGUCUGCCAUGCUCCUCCUGGCUUUUCGAGUAAAUCAGAAUGUCGUCUAUGAACACUAUCACGGAUUUAUCAAGGAACGGGUUACAAACCCUAUUCAUCAAAUCCAUGAACGCUGCUGGAGCAUUGGUUAGUCCAAACGACAUAACCAAGAACUCGUAGUGUCCAUAUCUAGUUCUGAAUGCAGUCUUCUCGAUAUCUUGCUCUCUUACUUUUAGCUGAUGAUAUCCUGACCUAAGAUCGAUCUUCGAGAAAUAGCUCGAACCUUGCAAUUGAUCAAACAGGUCAUCAAUCCUCGGCAACGGAUAUCUAUUCUUUAUUGUUGCCUUGUUCAGCUCUCUGUAAUCGAUGCACAUUCUCAUACUUCCAUCUUUCUUCUUUACAAAUAACACCGGAGCUCCCCAGGGCGAUGAACUAGGUCUAAUGAAACCGUUGUCCAAUAACUCCUGAAGUUGCAUCAUUAGCUCCUUCAUCUCCGUCGGUGCUAAUCGAUAAGGUGCUUUCGCAAUUGGCGUUGUUCCUGGCAACAAGUCAAUACGGAAUUCCACUUGUCGAUCAGGCGGUAAUCCAGGAAGAUCUUCGGGAAAUACUUCCGGAUAAUCACACACCACUGGAAUAUUCUGCAUCACCUUCUUUUCCUUCUUAGCAUCAAUCACGAAUGCUAAAUACGAUGUACACCCCUUGGUCAAACAUUUUCUGGCUUUCAUCAAUGAAAUGAUUCCAGAAUUCACUCUGCGUUUAUCUCCAUACACCAUAAACGAAUCUUUCCCAGGCGGGUUUACUUUGACUAUUUUCUUCUUGCAUAAAAUUUCGGCGUCGUUGGCGCUAAGCCAAUCCAUUCCCAAUACGAUGUCGAAACCAUUAAGUUCGAUAGGCAAUAAUUCCUCGUGGAACUUAUUCCCAUUCAGAUCAAUUAAGAUGUUUUUCAUGCGAUAGCUAACAGGUACAAACUUGCCACUAGCAACUUCGACUAAUAAAGCAUUAUCUAGUCUAACAACAGGCAAAGCUAGCUUUCUACCAAAUUCAUGCGAUAUAAAGGAGUAGUUGGCUCCAGAAUCAAAUAAAAUUUGGGCAGGCAAUUCGUUAACGAGAAAGGUACCUGAAGCGACAUCAGCUUCAUCUUUAGCAGCUUCCAGUGUCAUCUGGAAUGCUCUCGCCUUUGGCUUUGGCGGAAUGUUGGGUCUAGCUGCCUCCUUCUUCUUCGGGCAGUCCCUCGACAUAUGACCCUCCUCACCACAACCAUAGCAAACUUUCUUUGUGAGGGUACACUCAUUGGCAUAGUGCCCUGGCUUUCCACACUUGUAGCAUGUGUUCGCCACCUCACAUCUUCCAUGAUGCUUCUUCUUACAUUUGUCGCACCAUUUCGCUUCACCUCCACCUCCCCUCGAACCAGACUUCGAGAACUUGUUUUUCUUGUUGGACCCUGAAGUUCCAUCGAACUUCCUCUUUUCUCCAACAUCUAUUCUUUCCAGACCCUUUUCCUUCUGCUGGGCCUCCACAUUCUUAGCUGCACGAACAGCCGUUUUCAGAGUGGUUGCCAUUUUGACUGUCGGACCAAAGUCAGCAGGCAGUCCGUUAGCAAACCUCUCAAUCUUGGAGAGUUCCGUUGGCACUAGGUACGGAAACAACUUCAUCUUCUCAGUAAAUGCAGUAGCAUAGUCAUCUAUGCUCAUCUUCCCCUUCUUUAAGUUUUGAAACUCAUUGUUCAGAUCAAUCAGAUCUAUCUCCGAACAAUACUGCACCCUUAACUGUUCCAAGAACUCCUCCCAUGACAUUUUCAGGGCUUCUCCUCGUGGCAUAGUAUCUGCCAACAACUUCCACCAACUCAAGACUCCAGUCUUCAGUUGUCUAACCGCAAAGACGGUCUUCUGUUUGUUGCUACAGUCGCAACUUUCAAAUACCAUCUCCAUUUCGGAGAUCCAAUCCAUUAUCUCAACAGGCUUUGGGCUCCCAGAAAGACUUGGCGGUUUGGCGCCCAAGAAAUUCUUGUACAUACGCCCAUCCUUGUUGUUUCUCCUUUCUGGAUCGUUCCUUCGUUCCUCUUGAGUCCCAACUUGACUCACCAUGCGACUAUUGUUCCCUUCCUCCGAUUGCUCGGGAAUCAAUUCAGGUUCCUCAAUAGGUAUGACAGGUUCAUCCCUAUUAUUAUGCAACAUUUGUCGCAUCUCCUCCCUUUGUUCGGCUAGCAUAGCCCGAAUCAUGGCUUGCACCGCAGCCAUUGUUAUUGGUUCUGGUGCUGCUGCUACAACAGGUAUUUGCUCAAUCACUGGCGGUUGAUUCCUGUUUUCAUCUGCGUUUCCAACGCCACUCCUUGUUCUCACCAUUUUUGAUCUACACACCGAAUAAUUUCACCUUAUUACUCCAAACGAUUACAUGCUAGUUCUAAUAUCGUAUACAUACGCUUAGAAUCCUAAACACAUAAACCUUCAGAUCCGGUUGGCAACAAACCGUAGAUCCGAACAAAUAAUAUCAUAUAUGGCAACAUAUAACAUUUAGCACAUAAAAGCAUUUUAGGCAACUUUCCUAAAAUAAACUAGUGCUCGUGUCUAAAAUCCAACAGACACACAUCUCAAAAUUCCACUUAGCAUUCUAAGUUUAAGUCUAGAAAUCCUACAAAUUCCUAGUUCGCUUAAACUAAUGCUCUGAUACCAACUGUGACAUCCCCAAAAUCUCGGCCAGAAAAGACCGAUUUUCAUUUAUGCUUUUAAAUAUUUUCAGAGUAAAUCCUUUUGAUUUGAAAGAGUUGCGGAAUUUGUUCCCAAAACAAAACAUGAUAAAAUAAUAUUUAUCAAAGCAUUUCAUCAAGAGAUGCAUUUCAUUAUAUAAUCAAAACUCGGGAUGUCAUGUUCCGAUACAGACCAUAAAGCAUAAACGAUAAACAUUACAAGUCAUUCAACAAAUAUAUACAUAUACAGACUUGUAAACAAAACAACAAGAUGAUCCAUCCAUCUUACGCCCUUGCGCCACUUCCUGUAAUACAAAUAAAACUGAGUGGGUCAGGCUUGGGAGCCUGGUGAGCAUAUAGGGUUUUCAACCCACAAUAAAUAAAUUAUAUUUAAUUUCACCAACCAAUCACUAUCCCGAUUACCCAUUCCCGUUAUCCUCACUUUACGUCCCUAAAAUAACAUCUAUCUCAAGGGACCUAAUCUAGGAUUUUCAUCGGGACGGACAUCACUGCUAAGGGGUUUCCUCAACAAUAGAUAUCCUAAAGGCAACCAUGAGGGGGAUAGAGUACACCGGUGAACACAUCGUUCACAACACCUACAGGUUAUGAACCUGCUAGCGUUCCACUGGACUGUCUAGAAAGAGUCUGUGGUCGUUAUCCAUACUCCGCUGAAUAACUAGAUCAACAACAACAACAACAUCGAGGCCUCUCAUCUGUUUAUUACACACCAACUAUCUACCCAUGUUCUACCCAACAUAUUAGUAGAUAAAAUAUAUACUUUCAUACAUAGUUUGAAACCUGUAUAUCAUUUUCAUUCAAUAUAUAUUCCACAUAACAGAUGAGGCAUACCCACGUAACACGUAUUUCAUAGAAAGCAAUUCAGAUCUAUGAGAUGGAAGAGGGUGAACAUACAUUCACACACAUAACAACAAAUUCUAUACAUAACACGUAUUUCAUAUAAAAUACUCCAUAAUCAUGUGUUAGAAGAAAGUAACUACACACUCACACAUAUAAACAACAAUAUACUUAAUACACUCGAACCAUACUUGUAUUAUUAUCGUGUUUAUGAAAGGUAGUAUACACUCAUUUGAUCAGAAGACGAUUGGACAACACUACGACUUGCAGAAGUAGAAAUCCUCAGCAGAUCUGGAAGAUCUUCACAAAAAAUCGAACUUCUCGCGGACAAAGCAUCGGCUCGGGAAUCGCACUUCUCGGGAUCUUCGGGAUCUCAGGACUUGCUUCGGGGCUCGAGAAUAAUACCGGGGCUUCGGGGUAUUUUUUGGCACGCAAAUCCAUGCAAAACGGGAAAGAGAAGAGAGAAAAGAGCAAAAGAACUCGGCUGCCCUCGCAUCCUAUUUAUAGGAGGCUGGAGCCUCGGAGUACGCGGGGCGUACUGCUCCGAAAUCGUCACUGCUUACGUAUCCGAAGUGCUCGAGUGCGAGUGUCGACAUCCCUCGGUGUACGCGGGGCGUACACGAGUACACGGGGCGUACUUCGGAUCAGAUCGGUGACUCCUUCGGAUAAUCAUCCGAAUUAAAGAUUAAAUUAAAGAUCAUCCGGAUAAUCAUCCAAAUUUAAAUACUUCUUCAUACGAACUCCGUUUUCAACGUUCUUUAUAUCCACGCGAAGGUGAGACUACGCUCUACAACUUUCGUUUAGACUCCGUCGGCUAAUUUUAACUUUAUUUUUAUUAUUUAUUUUUAAUAGGCCGGGACAGAAAAACUUCGUUAUAAAUUCAUAACUUCUUCGUUUGACGUCCGUUCUCGCCUAACUUUUCAUCGCUUCGAUACCAACACCGAGACCUUCGAUCCUCGUUUAGAUUGCUUCGGCUAAAACCCGUUCGAUCUCAAAUCGAGUAUUUCAGGCUGCAUACCGCUAAGCCGAAACUUCGAUAAAUCAUAACUUCUUCAUACGAAGUCAGAUUUGGGUGUUCUAUAUAUAUUCGGAAACCUCGUUUCAACUACUACAACAUUAUCCAAAGAUAUCAAGUUUAUUUUACACUUAAAUUUUGACGCUUAUUUUUAUUCUUAAUUAAUCAAACCAGAUAGUUAAGCAAUUAAGCACAAAACACAUAAUACUCAAAUAAUAUACUUCUAUUAUUUCAAAACGGGUUACAAAGGUUGACCUAGACUAUUACAUUGCUAAAAAUGGCAAGCCCGGAAACACAGGCGUUACAGGAUCCCAUGGCUAUUCAGCAGGGAAAGACCACGGGGGGAGCCCAUGGUACUUGGAUAUAAUACCAUGUAGAGGAGCCCAUGGCUGUCCAGCAGGGAAAGACCAUGGGGGAGCCCAUGACAUCCUGGAGUAAGACCGUGGGGGAGCCCACGACAUCAUUGUCACACCCCCGAACCAGACGGUGGAAAUGUCCGGGGGCUUGUGCGUGACUUCAUCUUGUAAUAUCAUCACAAUGUAUAUAAUUGAAACAAGACAAUACCAUCAUCAUAUAUAUCAAAAUACAACCAAAAUUGUGUACAUCAAGUAUAGUAUUAUAAGUUACAUGCCAAAAUGAAAGUUCAAUGUACGAUGAUAACAAAAACACAAUAAUUUCCACAUUCCAUGCUGACCUUUCUGCUUAUCGAUUCUGUGAGAAUACAAGUUAUUUUGAAAACGUCAACAUAUACAAUGUUGGUGAGUUCAUAAGCAUGUUUGAAUGAAAGGUUUUGAAUAGUUCAUAAAACACCAGAAAAUCCGAUAUUUUCUGUAAGUAUUUUGAAAGUAAUGUUUCAAAAUCAAGUAUUAGUGCAUGUGUGUUUGCUGCUUUUGGAAUGUAUAGAUAAACAAAAAUGUAAUCCAGAUAAAGAUCAUGUAUUUUCUGGUGUACGUAGAAGGAAAUGUAUAAAUGUAUUUAUCCCAGAAAAUUCGAUAUUUUCUGCUUAUAAAAGUAUCGUAAUCAUAAAAUCCCAAGACCGAGUAUCGAUGUAUGUAUGUUUUUAGUAUCGUCAAGAUUGGUAUAAAUAUACCGAAAUCUUUGAUGGAGUUAGUCUCUAAGUUAUAAUGACUAAUUCGCCUGUCUUAGCGUUUUCAAGCGCCGGUUUUGAUGUAGGUAAGGUUUGUCACCCUAGACUGGCCUAGUCUAGCUCUAGUGAACAGUGAAUGCGUGGGGGGUCACCCCGUACAUAUCUAUACACAAACUCCUGCUCUCCCUCCAGGAGAAUCUUGUAAUAACUACAAGCUACGAUCAUACACUCAAAGGUAUCAACCGACAAGUCUCACUAUAUUCUCAACUUGUUCACUAGUAAUGUAUUUCACCAAGUAUAAUGUUUACGUGUACCUUUUAAGUUUUCAAAUCCAAAAGUAUGUAUAUGAAUAUGUGAGGUUCAAUGGAUAUGUAGAGGGAUAGUUAAGAUCCACUUAGCAUGUGAUUUUCAGUCCAAGCCUAAUUAGCAUGUAAAUGGACCACUAAGGCCCAAUAAACAUGUAAAAGGGUAAUUUAAGCCCAAUAGGCAUGUAAAUAGACCACUAAGCCCCAAUAAACAUGUGAUCCAUAGUUCAGCCCAAAUUAACAUGUAAAUGGGCCACAAGGCCCAAUAAACAAGUCACGAAAGGUAUUAGGCCCAAUAUACACUGAAAUGGUCCCCUAAGGUCCAUUGGCCAUGUAAUGAGAGUAUUAGGCCCAAUAAAAUUGUUAUCAAUGUAUUUCGUCCAUUCGCUAGUAUUUCGUUGUUUGUUUUAGUUCGAGUUUUUACCAAGACACCCAAUAAUAUCUAAUUUUUGUAAUAGUGAUCAUUUUGGCCCACUAGGCCGAAAAUAAACAUUUUAGUAACAAUGUUUUUGGAAAAUUUGACACUUUAGAUCCCUUAGGACUAAAAGUCUUCAAUUUAUGGGCUUAAUUCAAAUAUAAUGACCAUUUGUGGCCUAUUUUGGGUAAAAUUUUAUUUUCGGCCAAGAAUUCAUAAAUAUUUACAAUUUCGGCCCAAUUAAAUCUAAUUUAACAUUUUUGACCCAAAUACAUCAAAAUGAGCAUUUUUUGCCCAAAUAUAUAUAAUUUGCUAUUUUCUACCCAUUUCUACAAAAAUUACAUUUUAAGCCCAUUUUUUAUAAAAAUGACAAUUUCAGCCUAUUUUUUUAUAUAAAAAUAUAACUUUGGCCCAAAUUCGAGAAAAGUGACAUUUUCAGCCCCUAUAUCUGUAUAUUUACAUUCUCGACUCAAAUUUACUUAAAAUGACAUUUUAGUCCACAAAGACUAAAUUUUUUACAUUUUAAGCCCAUGUAAACAGUCAGGCCCAUAAGGUGGCCUAUUAUGCGGAAAAUUACACUUUUGACCCUUUUAAAGUCAUAAAUAUCAUAAUGACCGAUUUUUAAAGUAGUUUGACUCUUAUGACACUUGUAAAAAGCGAAAAUGCCAAGGAGGACUUAUCUUUUUGGUUAUUUGUUAAAAGUGGUCCUUUUUCAAGAUUUUGUUAAGUUUCUUAUGAAUCUUCACAUUUUUAACACAAUUAUCUUCAUAGUAAGUUGUGUAAAGUGUUUUAGUUCAUAAUUAUCACAAUUUUUUGAUAGAGUUUUCGAGAUCUAUAAUGUUUCAUCACAUAAUCACAAUUUAAAUCAAGAAACACACAUAGGCAUGCAUAAAUACAUAGAUCUAGCACAUUUCAACUUGUAUCCUCCCCCAAAACAUAGUAAAACCGAAAAUAAAGGGGUAUGAACUCACUUUGCUUUGUUGUUCUCGGUUUGAAGAAGAAAUGGAAGAAGAUGAUGCGAUUCUCGGCCCUAGCAAGCUUCUUGAGAGAUUUUUGGGAUUAGAUGGGUUCUAAGAAGCAAGAUCACAAUAUGACAUGAGUUAAGAGGAGAUUUUUGUAGUAAUCAACAAAAUAAACCAUGUAUCUAAGCAAAAACUUACCAAGGAUGAUAGUAUUGGUGAAGAAUCCUCUUGAAAGCACCCACAAAUCCUGAAAUUUUGAUUGAAGAAGGAGUAGUUCUAGAGAGUGUUUUGAAGUAGCUUGAAAUGAGAAAAUCGAGGUGGGUGGUGGGUGUCUCGGCCGUGAGUAGAAGAAGCGGGGAAGAGGAGAGAGAUUUGAAGUGAUGUUCAAUGGAAAUCCACCAUGCAACAAUGAGGUGUCAACGGUGGAUAAUCCGUUUUUUUAAAUAACUAUAUGGGCCGAGAAUGGGCUAAGAGGAAGGAGGAUGAAAUGGUUUUGGGCUCUUUUUUCUUGGCUUGCUCGACUAUAUGAAGCUUAAUAAUAUUUUUCGUCCUAUUGGGCUCUUAAGGUGGUUCACGGCCCAAUAUGAUAUAAAGGAAUGGGUUUAUGGCUCAUUAGGGCUAAUUAAUUCAUAUAUGGCCCAAUAUGGCCCAUCAGGGUUAGAAUGAAUCAUUCUAGACCAAAUGGUCCAAAAUUUUAUAGAUUUAUGAAUUGGGUCCAUUUAGAAUCCAAUUAGGGUUUCUAAGCCUAAAAUAGUCUAACUGAAGAUUUAUUGGCCCAAAAGGCCCAAUAAGAGGAUCCUAGUCCAUGAUAAAUUUGAACCGGGAUUUCUAGGGUUUCCAACCCUUAGUUGAACAUGAGAGAUGUGUUUGAAUGGGCAUUGAGUGAUUUUCACUUAGGGUACAUGCUUUACAAUAGUUGAAUCAUUACACGAGAAUAGAAUUUCCUAGCUAAGAUGCUAGUUGUGAAAAUCCUUAUAUGUAUAUUCGCAUUGUUUAUGUGAUAUGUAGUAUACUAUUUGUUUAUGUGGUAUGUGUUAUACUAGUUGUUUAUGUGAUGUGUGAUAUGCUAGUUGUCUUUAUGCUACUUGCAUGGAAGACCUUGGGGGAAGCAUGUGGCAGUUGGAUAUAAGACCAUAUAGGGUAGCCCAUGACAUUCCCAGGUAGAGACUAUGUGGGGUAGCCCAUGACAUGAUGGUAUAAGACCCUGGGGGGAGCCCACGACAUCCUUACAUGUUAUGUAUGCAUGGCAGUUGUGAUUGAUAUGGAUUAUGUGCUGUUAUAGCUGAUACAUAUUAUGUGAUUAUGUGGAUUUUGUGGAUAUGCUCUGGGGAACUCACUAAGCUUCGUGCUUACAUGUUUGUUUAUGGUUUCAUAUAUCAUCGAUUUGGAAAAGAUGGGCUCGGAUUGAUUGCAGCGCACACACAUAUGAUUUCCGCAAUAUAUGAUUUUGGGGCGAACUCUGAUGAAUGUUUUUAAUUAAUCAUGUUUUUGGAAUUUUUAGAUUUAAAGAUAUAUAUACGUUUUGACUGUAUCGGAAAAUGAAAAUUUUACCCUUGAUUUUUGGGUCGUUACAUUUAAGAGAAAAACGAGUUGAAGCAGUGUAUAUAAUCAGCCCGAGCCUGAAUGAUGAUUUCCCAAAAUACCCUUACUUAUUUGUGUUAUGAGAUAUUUAUGAGAUGUUAGGGAUGCAUGCUAGAGGAUAGGUUAGGUAUAUCAUAUUUAAGGCUAGAGUUGCCUAAUUUGUGAUGCCUUAGCCUAGGAAUUUGUAACAGCCCGAAAUACAGGGUAGCUUUAUAACCCUUCUAUUUUGGAGAAUGGCUAGAUUAGUCCCUUAAAGUGAAAUAUGUAAUGGGUGAGUACGUUGGGCGUACUGGGGGUAGGAAUGGCAACGGGGCGGGUUCGGGGCGGGGCAUGGAUUUCCAAACCCGCCCCGAUAACUUUCGGGUAUCUUAUCGGGGCGCCCCAUUGGGUUUCGGGUUUCCCCGUCGGGUUUCGGGUAUCUUAUCGGGUUUACAACAAUUGAUAACGAAAUCUUUAUUCUAUUUUAGGGUACCCCAAUGUCUUAUAAAAUAUACAUGUUCUAGCAACUCUUUUAAAUUAAAAACAUGAUGCAUCACUUUAAUAAAAUAAACUGGACGUUAUAUUAAAAAUUAUUUGAUUUAAGUUUUUUUUAAUACGUCAAAACACAUAAAAAUGAUCAUUAACACCAGAUUGUUAAUAAUUAAAAAAUUGUNNNNNNNNNNNNNNNNNNNNNNNNNNNNNNNNNNNNNNNNNNNNNNNNNNNNNNNNNNNNNNNNNNNNNNNNNNNNNNNNNNNNNNNNNNNNNNNNNNNNNNNNNNNNNNNNNNNNNNNNNNNNNNNNNNNNNNNNNNNNNNNNNNNNNNNNNNNNNNNNNNNNNNNNNNNNNNNNNNNNNNNNNNNNNNNNNNNNNNNNNNAUAACCCACUCCCUGCCCCGAACCCGAUAAAAAACCCGAUAACGACCCGUUACCCGACCCGAAAUGAUCGGGUUUCGGGUUUCCCCGUCGGGUUCGGGUUUUUUUGCCAUGACGAACUGGGGGUACGCUGCGCGUACUCGCGUGCUUAAUUUGUACGCGAGUCAUCCGGGUAUGCUGGGCGUACCCAAGGUUACGUCGGGCGUAACCUGCCUAGAUGCAAAACCCGAAUUUGUGGCCUUGCACUAUAAAAGGAACAUGUAGUCCUUUGCCCUAGCCACCAUACACCCUUGAGUGAGUCCUUGGAGAGCUGAGAUUCAUGCUUUAGCUUGUUUAUGAGUUUUUGAGCUUGAAGUUGUCUUUUCAAGGUGAAGGAAGAGAAGAAGAAGCCAUUGUUGGAGCUAGGAGUUAAAGAACAAGUGUAGAUCCGAGUUUUAAAGUGGGUGGAGAUCCUUCCUGAGGUAAAAAGCUCAAAGAUUUCCUUGUUCUUCAUAAGUUUUUCUUGUUGGAGCAUUUUUAGUGUUUUGGGUUCAAAGUUGGAGACUUUAUGUGCAAGGAGUCUCCAUAAGCUUAGAUCUGACCAUUUCUAGUGUAAAAUGUGUUGAGGAGUCAUAAAAAUCGAGUCUUGAACAUGGAUCUUGUGGCAUGCAUGAGUUAUAGUCUCAUUAUGGAAAGUGGAAAGGUGUUUUGAGCACAAAGUGACCCUUACAGCCAUGCAAAGGCUUAAAGGUUCCAACUUUAUGGUUUAAGAUAUAGUAGAGCAGUCAGAUCUGAAGUUUGGAUGAAAGUCUUAACCAUUUAAGACCUGAAUGUGUUGGAUAAAGAAACUGGGCAUUACGCCGGGCGUAAUCCCAGUAUGCACCGCGUACGGGGUUGCGUACCCCAUUUCUGGAAUGCAAGAGUACGCACAGCGUACUGCUUGCUGUUGACUUUUCUUGACUUUUAGGGUUUUAGUCAACAUGUGGAUUUUUGGUUCAGGGAGGGGUAAAAUGGUCUUUUACCCUUUUGUGGAAUGUUAGAAAGGAAAAUAGUAUAGCCUUGAAAGCCGUUAAUGAUUUGGAAUAAUUAUUUGAUGUGAUUAGGAGAGGCUAGGUUGUUGUUGCAAGAUUCAGAGAUUUCGAGCACGUGUGACACUAGACAUCAUACGAGGUGAGUCUUCUCACUAUACUGUACCUGGAAGGGUACCUGUGUGUGACCGGAAGGUCUGGUAUGUUAUGAGAUAUAUGCAUCAUAUGAGUUGCCUGUUUUGUUUGCGUUAUGUAUGUCAUUUGCAUGCUAUGUUGAUAUGGGCCGGAAGGCAUUAGGAUGUGGACCGGAAGGUCGACACGGGUAAGACCGGAAGGUUUACCGGGUUGGGACGGAAGUCCCCUGAGAUGCAUGGGCUGGAAGGUCAUGGCCUGGAAGGUCAUGGCCUGGAAGGGCAUAUGUGUAUAAGUGGUAUACUGGCGAACUCACUAAGCAUUUAUGCUUGUAGCUGCUGUGUUAUGUGUUUCAGGUGCUAGAGAGGACCGUGGGAAGGCGCUGACAUGACUCGUACACACAAUCGCAGGCGGAUUUGGAUUUAGUUGAUCUUGGGAUUUGAAAUGUUUUGUAUUAUGACUACGUUACAUUGGAUUCUUAUGGUUGGUUUGGAAUGAAAUCAUGUUUUUAAGAAAUGAAAAAUUGUUUUGAAACAUUUCGUUGUUAGAAGUUGGUAUUAGAGCCUUCGUUUGAGGGACUCGGAUGCACCUUUGGGUGUAUCUGAACUCAAAUCGAGGAUUUGAGUAAUUUUCAAUGAUAAAAACUAAAUUUUCUAAAAGAGCAAGAGGUUUGAGACAACCAGAUUAGAGCAGUGUGUACGGUCAGCCAGCGCCCGAACGGUGAAUCCCCAGUGCACCGUUACAUUAUGUGUUGUGAGAUAUGCUAUAUUAUUUUAUGUGUAACACCUGGUUCCUGGUACGUAAAAUUUAUCCUAGUAAUUGUCAUUUUAGCCUUGGACUCGGCGAGUUGUAGGUCCGACUCGCCGAGUAGGGACGCGGUCUGGGGGCACGUUUAAGUUGGUGACUCGGCGAGUCCAUAUUCUGGACUCGGCGAGUCACCGCUGUCUAUUGAAACCCUAAAUUUCAAGGGUUUGCACCCUAUUUAAACACUCAUUUCCGCCCCAACCUCGCCCCCAUUCACCCUCAGAGCUCCCAACAUUGUCUUUGCCCUUUUUCUUGUGAGAUUGAAGUGUUUUGGGUGAGUUCUUGAAGUUUUUUUUGAGGAGAAAGAGGAGUAGAUCAAGAAGAGGAGAAGGAGGCCAAGCAUUUUUGUGACAUCUCAACGUUUUCCUUGAGGUAUAGCUCGUUUCCCCUCUGUUUUCAAGCUUGUAGUCCCUAAUAGCUUCAUGAAAGUCCUUUUUGAGCCAUUCUUCAAGCUUGUUUGUGCUUGGUGGGUUGUAAUAAGUUGUUAGCCUUUAGAUCUAGGCAUGAUUUAGUCCCUGGAGCUUGGAUCUACUGCCUUUAUGGAGUCAUAUUGCAUGAAAGUCCUAGAUCUACCCCUUUUGGUGCACUUUGAGCCCUAAAACCUUCAUUGGUGAUUAUCUACACGUAAAGUUGGAAACUUUACGUGUAAACCAGGCCCUUGGAACCCAGAUCUAUGAUUGGCAUGGACCGGAUUCAAGCAAAAUCGCGUGUAUAGUUUUUGCAUGAGGCAGACUCGGCGAGUCAUUCAUCUGACUCGGCGAGUCGGGUCGCGAGUCCCCGGGUUGUUCCCCUUUUUGUGUUGCAAGUUGGAGUAGUGAGUCAUAGGGUAUGACUCAGUGGGUUAAAAGCCAGACUCACUCAUGAAGUCACUCGGCAAGUCAUUGCAACGACUCGGCGAGUUCACGGCAAUCUCCUUGUUUCAAGAACAACUCGGCGAGUCGCAGCUUAGAGUGUUCUUUGGAUGAAGAUGAACUCGACGAGUUGUUCAUACAAAUCGCCGAGUAGGAUGAAGGACUAUUGGCCUUGGGUAUAGAGGGAAGACUCGUCGAGUCUACGCUUAACUCGACGAGUAGAGACAGACUUAUGGUCAGACUAAAGGAAAGGGACUCGGCGAGUUGGCUAGCCAAUUCGCCGAGUCUGGUCAACUGGCAGUUGACUGUGAUUUGACUCAUGACUUGUUAAGGGUAAAUGGCCAAUUUACCUUGAGGUCGGUUAGCAGUAAUUGAUUAAGUGUUGGUGGGAAUUACAGUUGGAGGAUUUCCGAAGCAGCAGCAGACAUACCUUUCCCACACAGAUCAACAACUACUUCAAGGUGAGUUACCUUCCAGUAGCAGUGGGUCUAAGGCCACAAUGCCGGACCACCAGUAGGAAAUGUAUGAUGGAUGAUUGUUUUUGUGAUAUCAUCUAGGUUUGCUACUACCUGAUAUGUUAUAUGCUAGCAUGAUAUGUUACAUGUGAUAGUAAUAGAGUUCGGUUGUUAGGACCGAAGGGUAGUCAGACACCCCAGUUACGUAUGACAGUAUAUGAUGAUAUGUUUGCAUGCUGGCUUUUUACGUUAUAUGCGAUAGAGGUAGUAGGAGGGGAUUAGUCACCGAGUUCGGUCGUUAGGACCGAAGGGUAAUUCAGGCACCCCAGAUAUGUCUGAUAAUAUGUUAUGUUAUGAUAUAUGUGAUAGUAGCAGUAGGGGGGGUGAAAUAGUCCCCGAGGUUCGGUCGUCAGGACCGAAGGGUAGUCAGCACCCCAGAACGGCGUGACAUGGGUAGUCAGCACCCCAGAAUGGCUUGACACGGGUAGGUCGGCACCCAGAAUGGCCGUACCGGGUAGGUCGGGCACCCCAGAAAUGCCCAACAAAAUGUAUGAUAUGCGGUACAAUGGGGGAACUCACUAAGCUUCGCGCUCACAGUUUUUAGUUUUGGUUUCAGGUACCUCUUCUUCCAAGGGGAAGGAGAUGGCGCGGUAGCAGCCCAUCACACACAUGUUUUGUAUUCCACAUCAUGAGACCUUCCUGGGGAUUUGUAUUCUGACAUUUUUAUGUUAUUGUAAUGUUUUUCCAGACAUGCGAUAUCUUUAUAAAAUGUUAUGACCAGUAAACGUUUUAUUCGAAUGUUUUGCUAAAUAUAUGUUUUCAAAAAAUGAAAUUUUUGGCUCGUAUUUUGGGGUGUUACAAGUUGGUAUCAGAUCCCUGGUUUGAGGGAUUCGGACACACCUUCGGGGGUGUUUGAACUCAAAUCGAGGGAUUAAAAGAUUUUGGAUAGAGAAAAUGUUUUCUAAAAGGGCUAAGUAAAAGGGUUUUAAGAAAGAACAAGGUGUGUGAUGUGCGCGACCGACCGAGCUCAAGUAAGUAUUCCCAAAUGUACCCAUACAAGUUUAUAUAUGUUUACCAGUUUCUAUAGAACGGCAUGCUAGAAUAGGACUAAGGAUCUAGGAGUGAUGCCUUAUGUGCCUGCUUUCUGUGCUUCAGUAUAUGAAAAGUUGCAUGCUAGAAUUGAGUAGACAGCAGUAGGGUAGCCUGUUUAGGUUAUUCCUGAUAGUACGAGUUUAUCAUUGUAUGCUAGUCCAGUUUUUUUCUCUACGAGGAUAGAGCUGCUUGAAAUUGUUUCCUUUAUGACCAAAUGUUGUUGCUUUGUGCUAUGUGGGCUUUGAAGUGAUGGGAGUUAGCUGUUAGGUGAAUACGUUAAAGUCACAUGUGACCAGGGUUGAAUAAUCUCAGAGUGUUGGAUUUGACCCUAUUGCGUAGCUCUUGCUUGAGUCCUAACCGUGGUAGGGAUGAGUCCCUUACUCGAAGGAUUAUCCGAGCCUCGUCACAUGUGAUUGUAUUCAGGCGGUAGCUAAUUGGCAUCACCAAGAGGCCUUCAGCAGCUGAGGACUGGUUUGGGUGGAGUCAGAGGUUUCCUAGGGUAAGCCUAGGAUAAGAGUAACAGAGAUCAGCGGUAGUGAAAGGGACCUGGUGGAGUCACGACAGUCCUUGGAGAAGGUACAGAUAGAUGUGGAAAGUAGUAUGGGCCCGUACUACUAAAAGUAGAGGAUCCGUACCAGAAUCGAGGAACGCCAAGAUAAGACCAGGGAACUUGUAGUAGGCGUGAUCCCUCCAGAGGUAUCAGUAUCACUAACAGUUGUUAUUUCUUUUGUAUUUCAGUACAGGAGAGGGAUCGGGUUCAAGAUCAGGUUCCGAGCCAGUAGAUAAGGGGCUACGCGAGUUCAUCGCGUCNCCAAGCCAGUAGAUGAGGGGCUACGCGAGUUCAUCACGUCAGAGAUCACCAGAGGUGUCCUUGAGUCGACCCCCAUUAUCUUCGGGUCGAUCAUGGAAGGGAUAUUGGAGAUGAUGGAGGAUCACCUCCGGGCAUUCAGGAGUGACAUGGCAUUUGGCCAGUCAGGAUCCCGCACACUGUCCUUCAAGGACAUUGUGGGCAGUGGUGCGCUGGAUUUUCAUGGGGCGAAGGACCCCAUAGCUGCCAGACGAUGGAUUGCAGACAUUGAGUCUGCACAGACGAUUNNNNNNNNNNNNNNNNNNNNNNNNNNNNNNNNNNNNNNNNNNNNNNNNNNNNNNNNNNNNNNNNNNNNNNNNNNNNNNNNNNNNNNNNNNNNNNNNNNNNNNNNNNNNNNNNNNNNNNNNNNNNNNNNNNNNNNNNNNNNNNNNNNNNNNNNNNNNNNNNNNNNNNNNNNNNNNNNNNNNNNNNNNNNNNNNNNCGGAGACUGUGGCGGAGAUCACCGCCAAGUUUCGGGAGAGGGCAUUAUUAGUGCCCCAGUAUGCGGUUGAUGAGGACAUGAGGAGGACCCACUACCAUGACAUGCUCCGAGCUGAUAUUCAAGAGCAUGUCAUUUUUUCAGCUUGCCCUACCUUGGAAUCUAUGAUUGCCAGGGUGAGGGUGAGAGAGAUAGAUCUGGACCACGUCCGGAAGAGGAAGACUGAGGAGGGACAAACAGGAGGGGCUUCGGGGAAGAAGCCCAAGGGAUCAUAUGGUAGGCCAAAAGGCCAGUCAGGACCGAGCCGCUACAGGAAAUGCGGCAGGCCUCAUGAGGGGGCAUGUAGAUUGGGAUCGUCGGGCUGCUAUAAGUGUGGCAAGACGGGGCAUUUCAGCAGGGAUUGUACCGCCCCUGCACCUGUGAUUCAGACAUCAGAGUUGCUGUGUUUGCACUGCAACCAGAAGGGCCACAAGAAGGCCAAUUGCCCCCAGUUGACAUCAUCAGCGCCAGUUAAGGCGCCAUCUCCAGCUACCCUGCGGAUUACGGAUGACCGGCACGGCAAGGCAGAGGCUCCAGUGGUGAGGAGCCAGGCGUUUCAGCUGACAGCAAAAGAGGCACGCGCCGCACCCGAUGUGGUGACAGGUAUGAUUAUUUCUCUCUAUUUUAUUUUAUGAGGUUAUGUUAUUGAUUUGUGCUCUGUGUAUAUGCAUUAGGAUCAUUCCAUGUGAACGGUAUUCCGGUUCAGGUAUUGUUCGACUCGGGUGCCACCCGAUCAUUUGUUUCCAUUGCGCUUAGCAAGAGGUUUACUGAGUCCUCGGGCAUGUUGUAUUGCCCUUUAGAGGUAGAGAUUGCCGAUGAUCGAUCGGUGCGAGCAUCAGCAGUGUUUAGGGAUUGUGUUUUGAGGUUAUUUGAGGAGCGUUAUUUGGUGUAUUUGGUUCCCAUACUGUUGCGGGGGAACAAGGUGAUUAUAGGCAUGGAUUGGUUGAGCCCUAAUGGGGCGGUGAUAGAUUGCGCGCAACAGCUAGUGCAGGUCAGGACCCCAAGCGGGUGAGAGUUGGUGAUCCACGGCGAGAGGCCACAUUAUGGACCUAUAGUAUGUUCAGCAGCGAGAGCUAGACGCUACCUUCAGCAGGGAUACGCGGGGUAUGUCGCGUAUGUUAUGGAUACCCGGGAGACGGGUAAGAUGACAGUGAGCGAGGUUCCAGUGGUACGAGACUACGCUGAUGUGUUCCCGGAGGAGCUUCCUAGAAUACCUCCGGAGCGCCAGGUAGAGUUCAGGAUUGACCUAGUUCCUGGUGCGGCUCCGAUAGCCAAGGCACCCUAUCGGUUGGCUCCUCCCGAGAUGCAGGAGUUGUCUACGCAGCUGCAGGAGCUGCUAGACAAGGGAUUUAUUCGUCCGAGCAGUUCACCCUGGGGAGCCCCGAUCCUGUUUGUGAAGAAGAAGGACGGGUCGCACCGGAUGUGUAUAGAUUACCGGGAGCUGAAUAAGGUAACGGUGAAGAACCGUUACCCACUCCCGAGGAUUGAUGACCUCUUUGAUCAGUUGCAGGGAGCAUCUUGGUUCUCCAAGAUCGAUUUGCGUUCAGGCUAUCAUCAGAUGAGGGUUAGAGAGGAGGAUAUGCAGAAGACCGCGUUUCGGACGCGUUAUGGCCAUUAUGAGUUCGUGGUGAUGCCGUUUGGGCUCACCAAUGCUCCUGCCGCGUUCAUGGACCUCAUGAACCGCGUGUGCAGAACGAUGUUGGAUCGGUCUGUGAUAGUUUUCAUUGAUGACAUAUUGGUUUAUUCCAAGACUCAGGAGGAGCAUGAGGAGCAUUUGAGAGAGUUAUUGGAGACCCUGAGGAGGGAGAGCUUGUACGCCAAGUUCUCCAAAUGUGAGUUUUGGUUGCGCGAGGUGCAGUUUCUUGGGCACCUCGUCAAUCAGAACGGGAUUUCAGUGGACCCGGCCAAGGUGGAGGGCGUGAUGAGGUGGGAGGUUCCGAAGUCUCCAUCCGAGAUUCGGAGUUUCCUAGGAUUGGCAGGCUACUAUUGGAGGUUCAUUCAGGAUUUCUCCAAGAUAGCUGUACCCCUGAAACGGUUGACUAGGAAAGCCGUGGUCUUUCGGUGAGGGCCUGAGCAGCAGGCAACGUUCGAGACUCUGAGGCAGAGAUUGUACGAGGCGCCGAUCUUAGCCCUGCCCGAGGGCAUGGAGGAUUUUGUGGUAUAUUGCAAUGCGUCGAUCUCAGGUUUAGGCGCAGUGUUGAUGUAGAGGGGGCUUGUAUUGCUUAUGNNNNNNNNNNNNNNNNNNNNNNNNNNNNNNNNNNNNNNNNNNNNNNNNNNNNNNNNNNNNNNNNNNNNNNNNNNNNNNNNNNNNNNNNNNNNNNNNNNNNNNNNNNNNNNNNNNNNGAUGUACCAUUUACACGGACCACAAGAGUUUGAGGUACCUCAUGGAUCAGCCGAAUCUGAACAUGAGGCAGCGUCGGUGGUUGGACGUGGUGAAGGAUUAUGAUUGCGAGAUCCUUUACCAUCUGGGGAAGGCCAAUGUGGUGGCCGAUGCGCUUAGCCGCAAUGCGGCGCCGACCAGGGAUGUUUGCGUGAGGAUGACUAUGGUGACUCCCUUAUUAGAGCAGAUUCGGGAGGCUCAACAGGAGGCUAUGAAGGAGGAGCAUCGAAAGAGUGAGAGAAUAGUGGGUCAAGUCACCUCCUUUGAUUAUGAUAGUCUGGGGUUGUUGACACUACAUCGUAGGGUGUGGGUGCCGUAUCAUGGAGGCGUGCGCCAGAUCUUGAUGGAGGAGGCGCACAAAUCCCGAUUCUCUAUUCAUCCAGGGGCAACGAAGAUGUAUCGGGAUCUUCGCCUGGACUAUUGGUGGCCCUGCAUGAAGCGGGAUGUGGCAUGGUACGUCGAGCGGUGUUUGACCUGCAGGAAGGUCAAGGCCGAGCAUCAGAGACUGCACGGCAAGAUGCAGCGGUUGGAUAUCCCAUUGUGGAAAUGGGAGGAUAUUACGAUGGAUUUUAUCACCAAGCUUCCACGAACGACGCGAGGAGUAGAUUCGAUUUGGGUCAUCGUGGAUCGGUUGACCAAGAGCGCCCAUUUUAUUCUGAUUCCGGGNAGCUCCCAUUUUAUUCCGAUUCCGGAGAGUAUCUCGGCCGAAAAGUUGGCCGAUAUCUAUAUCAGGGAGAUAGUGGCGCGGCACGGGGUGCCAGUGUCAGUGAUAUCAGAUCGAGAUGUGCGGUUCACUUCCAGGUUUUGGAAGAGGUUUCAUGAUGAGUUGGGCACUCGUCUGCAUUUUAGCACCGCUUUUCACCCGCAGACGGAUGGUCAGAGUGAGCGGACCAUCCAGACUUAGGAGGAUAUGUUGCGGGUGUGCGUGUUAGAUUUCGGUGGUAGCUGGGAUACCUAUCUUCCUUUGGAUGAGUUCUUGUACAACAACAGCUAUCACACGAGUAUUGAUCGUCCCUCAUUCGAGAUGUUGUACGGUCGGAGGUGUAGGACCCCGAUAUGCUAGGGUGAAGUUGACCAAAGGGUCAUGGGGAGCACCGAGGUGGUGCUCAAGACGACCGAGAGAAUCCAGCAGGUUUGGAGGAGGCUUUAGACUGCGUAGAGUCGGCAUAAAAGUUACGCCGACAAACGUCGAUCAGACCUGGAGUUCCGGGUCGGGGAUAUGGUUCUCCUGAAGGUGUCGCCUUGGAAAGGCGUCAUUCGAUUCAGGAAGUGGGGCAAGUUGGGCCCGAGAUUCAUUGGACCGUUCAAGGUUGUAGCCCGGGUGGGCAAGGUGGCNCAGCCAGCCGAGCUCAGCCAGAUCCACAACACCUUCCAUGUCUCCCAGCUGCGGAAGUGUCUCGUGGAUGAUUCAAUGAUGGUGCCAUUAGAAGAUAUACAGGUUGAUGAUAGCCUGAAUUACAUUGAGCGCCCAGUCACAAUUCUCAACCAGAAGUCGAAUGAUCUAAGGAACAAGAGGGUGGAGCUAGUGAAAGUGCAAUGGCAGCACCGCAAGGGUUCGGAAUGGACUUGGGAGUCGGUGGAAGAAAUGAUGGAGCAUUACCCCGAGCUGUUUCAGGAUCGAGCGGCAAACUUCGAGGACGAAGUCUAAAAUAAGUGGGGGAGAUUUGUAGCACCUGGUUCCUGGUACGUAAAAUUUAUCCUAGUAAUUGUCAUUUUAGCCUUGGACUCGGCGAGUUGUAGGUCCGACUCGCCGAGUAGGGACGCGGUCCGGGGGCACGUUUAAGUUGGCGACUCGGCGAGUCCAUAUUCUGGACUCGGCGAGUCACCGCUGUCUGUUGAAACCCUAAAUUUCAAGGGUUUGCACCCUAUUUAAACACUCAUUUCCUCCCCAACCUCACCCCCAUUCACCCUCAGAGCUCCCAACAUCGUCUUUGCCCUUUUCCUUGUGAGAUUGAAGUGUUUUGGGUGUGUUCUUGAAGUUUUUUUUGAGGAGAAAGAGGAGUAGAUCAAGAAGAGGAGAAGGAGGCCAAGCAUUUUUGUGACAUCUCAACGUUUUCCUUGAGGUAUAGCUCGUUUCCCUCUGUUUUCAAGCUUGUAGUCCCUAAUAGGUUCAUGAAAGUCCUUUUUGAGCCAUUCUUCAAGCUUGUUUGUGCUUAGUGGGUUGUAAUAAGUUGUUAGCCUUUAGAUCUAGGCAUGAUUUAGUCCCUGGAGCUUGGAUCUACUGCCUUUAUGGAGUCAUAUUGCAUGAAAGUCCUAGAUCUACCCCUUUUGGUGCACUUUGAGCCCUAAAACCUUCAUUGGUGAUUAUCUACACGUAAAAUUGGAAACUUUACGUGUCAACCAGGCCCUUGAACCCCAGAUCUAUGAUUGGCAUGGAUUGGAUUCAAGCAAAAUUGCGUGUAUAGUUUUUGCAUGACGCAGACUUGGCAAGUCGUUCAUCUGACUCGGCAAGUCGGGUCGCGAGUCCCCGGGUUGUUCCCCUUUUUGUGUUGCGAGUUGGAGUGGUGAGUCAUAGGGUAUGACUCAGUGGGUUAGAAGCCAGACUCACUCAUGAAGUCACUCGGCAAGUCAUUGCAAUGACUCGGCGAGUUCACGGCAAUCUCCUUGUUUCAAGAACAACUCGGCGAGUUGUUCAUACAACUCGGCGAGUCGCAGCUUAGAGUGUUCUUCGGAUGAAGAUGAACUCGGCGAGUUGUUCAUACAACUCGCCGAGUAGGAUGAAGGACUAUUGGCCUUGGGUAUAGAGGGAAGACUCGUCGAGUCUACGCUGAACUCGACGAGUAGAGACGGACUUAUGGUCAGACUAAAGGAAAGGGACUCGGCGAGUUGGCUAGCCAACUCACCGAGUCUGGUCAACUGGCAGUUGACUGUGAUUUGAUUCAUGACUUGUUAAGGGUAAAUGGCCAAUUUACCUUGAGGGCGGUUAGCAGUAAUUGAUUAAGUGUUGGUGGGAAUUACAGUUGGAGGAUUUCCAAAGCAGCAGCAGACAGACCUUUCCCACACAGAUCAACAACUACUUCAAGGUGAGUUACCUUCCAGUAGCGGUGGGUCUAAGGCCACAAUGCCGGCCCACCAGUAGGAAAUGUAUGACGGAUGAUUGUCUUUGUGAUGUCAUCUAGGUUUGCUACUACCUGAUAUGUUAUAUGCUAGCAUGAUAUGUUACAUGUGAUAGUAAUAGAGUUCGGUUGUUAGGACCGAAGGGUAGUCAGACACCCCAGUUACGUCUGACAGUAUAUGAUGAUAUGUUUGCAUGCUGGCUUUUUACGUUAUAUGCGAUAGAGGUAGUAGGAGGGGAUUAGUCCUCGAGUUCGGUCGUUAGGACCGAAGGGUAAUUCAGGCACCCCAGAUAUGUCUGAUAAUAUGUUAUGUUAUGAUAUAUGUGUUGGAUUAGUGUCUAAGUCCAUAACUAUUUUGGUAUGUAUUUGACCCGAUGGUGCAUGGUCCUUUUGGGUUGCCUUCACCAAAGCAACUUGAUAGGAUGAAUUAUGGAGAGAAAGGAUUAAAUAUGAUUUAUUAAUAUAUUAUGGGAAUAAUAUAUUAAAGGAGAAAUCAUAUUGUUUAAUUAAUAUUAGUCAAUAAUUAAUUGGUAAUUAGUUUUGUGACUAAAAGAGAUUAAUUAAACUUAAGGGACUGGAAUUGUAAUUAUAAGAUAAUUGCAAUUUGGGCCAUGGAUUGNNNNNNNNNNNNNNNNNNNNNNNNNNNNNNNNNNNNNNNNNNNNNNNNNNNNNNNNNNNNNNNNNNNNNNNNNNNNNNNNNNNNNNNNNNNNNNNNNNNNNNNNNNNNNNNNNNNNNNNNNNNNNNNNNNNNNNNNNNNNNNNNNNNNNNNNNNNNNNNNNNNNNNNNNNNNNNNNNNNNNNNNNNNNNNNNNNNNNNNNNNNNNNNNNNNNNNNNNNNNNNNNNNNNNNNNNNNNNNNNNNNNNNNNNNNNNNNNNNNNNNNNNNNNNNNNNNNNNNNNNNNNNNNNNNNNNNNNNNNNNNNNNNNNNNNNNNNNNNNNNNNNNNNNNNNNNNNNNNNNNNNNNNNNNNNNNNNNNNNNNNNNNNNNNNNNNNNNNNNNNNNNNNNNNNNNNNNNNNNNNNNNNNNNNNNNNNNNNNNNNNNNNNNNNNNNNNNNNNNNNNNNNNNNNNNNNNNNNNNNNNNNNNNNNNNNNNNNNNNNNNNNNNNNNNNNNNNNNNNNNNNNNNNNNNNNNNNNNNNNNNNNNNNNNNNNNNNNNNNNNNNNNNNNNNNNNNNNNNNNNNNNNNNNNNNNNNNNNNNNNNNNNNNNNNNNNNNNCGAGUCUCUAGAUGAACUCGCCGAGUCCAUGCUGACUCGACGAGUCCAUGCCUGACUCGGCGAGUCGGCUCGUCAGAAGGAGGCAAAACCGGGAUUUCUUGCUGUUUUUGCUUAAGGAUAGUUGCCUUAUCAUAUUAGAUCAAUAUAAAUCCGAUUUUAUGAUAUAUUUGACUGUAUUCUUGAUCUAAUUGAAGAUAUUUAUCAAUUAAUAAAAUAUUUGUUUCCCUAUGUGAUAAUUGAUUAAUUAUUUUGAUUAAAUUGAUAAAUUGUUUUGCAAGAAAUCAUUAAAUAAAUCAAAUAUGGAUAAUUAUGUGAUUACUUGUUAAUUUAGAUUAUUUGUUAUUUGAUCCUUGUGUUAUGAAAAGUUUCAUAUUUUCCCCUUUAGGUUUUAUGGUUUAAAUUUGAACCCAAAAGUUUUGUUGUUUUGAAAUUUAAAUAGUUGAAACCAUAAUGUUUUGAAAAAGGUUUCAAAACUUGCCCUCAAGUUUUGGAAUUUAAAUUUUGAAUUAAUAGUUUAAUUUUGAUGUAUAUUUAAAUUCUAAACCCGAAUGUUUUGAAAUGUUUCAAAACUUGCCCUCAA
rnacentral:lncRNA from 1 species